CGAAAUUUCAAAAUAUUCACUACAUCUCUACCUGUUUACUCAGUUGAAAACACCAAUCAAAUUCGAACCAAGAUCAGUGAAAAGAUAUGGAAGGGAUAUAUAUAUUAUUAAAAAUAAGAAUAUUACUAUCCAGCAAGAAUAAAGUACCAUAAAAGGUAGAAUUAUGAAUACAAAGCGAAUGUACACCAAGUAAACAAGCAGACAUGUAGUGAAUAUUUUGAAAUUUCGGUCACUAACGGUAUAUUUAACUGAAGAAGACCAAUUGAACUGAAACUGCAGUAUUCAAUUAUCUUUCAUUUUUCUAACGAUCUUCGUAGAGGUAAGACACAAUUUUCCUAUAUUCACCAUCCGCAAACAUCUCUGCCUGUGAACAUUCAGCGAAGCUCUACAUAGCGCCGAUAACUUACCGGCUGCUAUUUCUAGCAAUGAUCGUACUUCGUGUACAUUCGCUUUGUGUUCUUAUAUAAAACACACACACACACACACACAUACACACACACAUGCACUGCAAAACAUCCAGAGAUUACCUAUUAUGGUCAUGUGCAAUAAACAUACCUAUUUAUAAUUAAUAAAAGGAAUUAAUAAACCAGGAAUAAACCGGAUUAGGGCAUGUUUAUCAAUUCCAAUUUUGCCUUAUUGAGUGAAAUACAAGUAUUUUAACUAUACAAUUUUGUUAGGAAUUAUUCUCUUAUAAGUCAGAAAUAAUGAUAAUGAUACAAGUGGUAUAAGUUAAGCUAAUCCAUCUAAAGGAUUCGGCAAACUGAGUAUAUUUAUAGCAUUACGUGUAGGUACAUGACCAUAGUAUUAGGUAGUACUCGAAUAUAAAAUGUUUUGCAGUGCGUGUGUGUGUGUGUGUGUGUGUUUUAUAUAUGAACACAAAGCGAAUGUACACGAAGUACGAUCAUUGCUAGAAAUAGCAGUGAAAUAACUAGAUAUAAACUACAAAACUGUUGUCAACAUACGGAAUAAAUAUUUAUCUCGCGCCUCUCUGAAUUUUGAUUAAUAUACUCAUCACCAUUAUGAUUUCUGGAUGUUCGGAAUUUAAUACUCGAAACAACUAUGCCUUUCUUGAUAACCGUACGUCGGGUAGUGAACUUAUCGUGGUUUCUGUUUGAUUUUUCGAUCAUGUAGUUUCGAAUUUAUUUCCCUCACGUAGAAUCUUAAGCCAGUGUGUUAGACUAUAGCCCUGAGCCUACCAAUGCAUUGUGAGUGAAUUUGGUAGGUGGAAACUGAAAGUCGCGACACGCUCACAUACACACACAUAUCUAUUUCAUAUUUUCCACGAGUCCCUCGCCAAUAAUCUGCAGGUUCAGUUUACACAAUGAAAAGCUGUUUAAACUUCUUCUCGUAGACACCCUCUCAAGAUAUCAUAAAUUAUUUAUUAAUGUUUCAGUAUUGGUAACUAUUCUGUAUCGAGACUUUUGAAAAGCAAUCUACAGUGUCAGUUACUGCCAAACUAAUACAACUAAGUUUUUCUCAUUCUUCACAGAGAAGCCUUUGAAAAUCUUUCUUUCAGCAAUCCAUAUCACAAGAGUAGUGACAUUUCUAUAUUAGAAAUUGUAAUUUCUCCAUAACGCUCAGGGAUGUUAGUCAACAGUGAAAUAUUGUGCGAAGAUUGUAGCUUCAACAUUUUCUGCUUUCUCUAUAAUGAAAAGUAUUUCAAAUUUAAACUUUAAUGACUUAGGCUUAUCGACCUGUCACUUCUUUGCUUAUAUUGAAUGUAUUCUUUUUAUAGACUUUUGAAAAAAAACUUGUAUUUUCAACAUUUUCAACUUGACAUUGUCACAUCGUUUCAUUGAGUUCUUGUUUCCCCUUAAGAAAUAGAAAUAAUCUUUAAAAAUCUUCAUUUUAUUUACAUUAUAUAUUUCCUAUAGCUAUCUUAUUUUGUAGUAAAUCUAUUUUUUAAUCAAAACAUCUCUAUAGAAAGCGGAGAAAGUAAUGAACACAAUCAAAUGGCUAACAUUUUGUUGGCAGUAAAUCCGUGCAGCUAGAUGACUAAUGGCGUUCUUAAAUUCUGUUUUUAUGAUCAACAGAACUGGACGUAUCAGAAAUCAGCAUGCAUAUUCAUACACACUUGCUCACAGGAACGUAACAGUUCUCAUUUAUAAACAUCUUUACACAAUAAGUACAUAUACAUAGUCUGGUACUUAAAUGUGCACACGAAUGUGUUUCUCGAAAAUAAUGCCGCCUGAAAGUUCAACUAGCUCCAGAUUUCAGAAGACAGUUUAGUAGAAUUAGCGAUUUCGAUACCAAAAUUGUUGUGAACGUUAAGAAGCCACACCUGUUCCACAAUGAUUCUUAUCGAGUAAAAAGUAGAGAGACACUUUGUACACUAAAAAACGACAUGUACGUGGACGUUGUCCUGGCAGUCACAAACCGUAUGAAUCGACACACUCUGGGUAAGUUUAGAAAGAAUUUUAUAAACAUCUUCAAGGAAUUCGGCUUAAGUAUAACUGUUACCACCAAAUUAACGAAGGCCGAUUUCUAGAUGUCAUCCUUAAUCACAAGGCAAGCAAUUCUAACACUUAAUGUGAAAACUACUUAUAUCCAUAGAAAUUUCAAACAACCCCAAGUUGUAAUUAGAAAACUAGUCGCGGGCACAAACAGAAGUCUCUCAAACCUAACAGCAGACAGAGGGUACUUUAACAAGGUAGCAUCCCAUUAAAAUGAAGUAGAAUUAAGGAGUGAUUUUACAGAUAAUUUAGUGCAAGCGCCCCCGAACCCGAAGAAAGUUAAAAAAGGAAUGGAAAUGUGGCGCAAUCUACUAUGCAAUUCAAAAUCUAAUUUAUCUAUAAGAUUCUUGUUAAGUAGACAGCAUUUCCCAAGAAGUUACAGGUGUCAUAAACUCUUUGAUGUCCAUAGUAUCAUGGGUAGUGACUCAUUAUCUCUUCCGACAUUUCACGCUACUAUAAAAAAAAAGUGCCCAAGCAGUUUCUAACCCACACUCCAUUCAAUAAUUGCCCAAAUUCCACCUACCGCAAACUAAGAGUAACCGUCUUUCAAAUGUUGUGAUGUAUGAAGCCAUCCAUACACGCACAGCAUUACGAAACACUACAGGAGCAUAAUAGCUAAUGACUUCCUGGGAAGAUUCACGUUGCAAUGCCCUCCUUCGAAUAUAGGGACAAGAAAAUCUACAUUUCUCUGUCUCAUUUUGUCUGUAGAGUCCGGUUCCAAGAAAAUGAUUUCUCUAUCACUACACAAGGUAUCUUUCACAGGGUCCCUCUUUAACAUAUGAACUUCGAAAUUGCCAACUCCGACUCCGAGAGAAACUGCAUAUAUUACGACAGAAAAAUAGAUCAAUCAUAUUGUAGUCAUCAAAUAUACACCUGUUAAUGGACGUCAAACCAUUGACCGCCAGUAACUUGGAUUCUGUGCCUCGGUCUUGCUAACCCACGUACAAGUAUAGAUAGUAUAUACCCUGCAUUGUAGCCUACAAGACCUUACUAUCAUUACUCAACGCAGCCAUGCAAACUGGUAUCAUCAAACAGGUUAUCUCACCACGCGGUACACAUGCAAGUGUCAUCAUUAAACUGUUGAAUUUUACAGGCCAUCGACUACUUGACGUCAGUACACUAUUUACCGCGUAGAACAUAGUGGAAUUAGCUGCUGUUGCUGCUUAGCUACAGAAAGCAAGAGACUUUGACUGAGCAAUUGGGGACCCAAAUAUUUUCAUCUACAAGUUAUUUUAAAUUUCUGAGUUCAUGUGUGUGUUCUGCGCCUUCGGAAAUUUAAGUACUGUGAAACUGAACCAAUUUAUUAUUGAAUACUUUAGAAUUCUAUCUAAAUGUGUUGAGUGCUACUUUCUUUCGAAUGUUCACUUAUUCGUAUAUACACAGAUAAAUAUAAAUGUAUACACUCUUUAACAACUGACAAUUCACUUAAUUUUCAUAUCUGUUUCGAUUUAAUUCUUUACAAAUAAUGAGGGGAGCCAGGGUACGCUUUGAACAUAGAAAAUUUAUCUUAAAAUGCUACUGGAAGUUUGAAAACGCGGUCGAAAUACAAAGGUAGUUGAGGAAGAAGUAUCAAAAAGAUCCCCCUACACAACUUGCAAUCACUCGAAUUAGAAAUAAAUUUGAAGCAGGUGGAACUCUUCAGUAUACCCACCAGAAACGUUCCAGAUGACUGUGGAUAUCAACGAAGUCCACAAAUUAAAAAAGGGUAUUACAACCCAAUUGCCAGAGCUCAAGUAUUUCUAUGAAACGUGUGAAACACAUACAUGCAGACCCACACAUACGCCUAUAUAUGACAUGUAUAUGCAAUCAUGCAACUAAACGUAUACAUAUCCGUACACGCGCAUGCGCGCACACACAUAUGCACAUACCCAUACGUGCACAAUUAUAUUCAAAUACACGUCUAAAAUACGCACAUGCUAUAUAAGCAUACGCUCACUCACACUCGCAUGAAACACAUGCAUGUAUAACCACAUACAUAUGCAACCAUACACAUGUACAUAUACAUGUACAUAUAUACAUAUCCGCACAUGCGCACACACACGUGUAUAUACCCAUACACGCACAGAAAAGUUUAUAUACGCAUAUGCACAAGAAAAAUGCAGGGUGAAAGGUAAAAUACAGAAAAAAUGCGUAAAAAUAUAUAAAUUGAGGUUAUAAGAGAUAAUGGUGUCAUUGAGACCCAAAAGUGUCAGGUAAUGCUGAAUAAGUGCUAUAGACAAACCAUAGUUAAGUUCCAGGUUCGGUAAUUUUGCGAAUAAGGGGUUCAACUUUGGUUCUAUGUCAGCAUGUGCAUAUAAGAAUUUUUUGCGUAAUGAGAUAAAAAAAACCAAGGUUGUGUAGAUAUUACAACAUUUAUAGAUAGGUCUUACAGCUGUUUCCAGGAUAUUAAUUAUAUCCCUCCAUCGGAGACGGAGAGGAAGGAGGAGGAAAGAAAAUAGAUGCAAGAUAUGUAGGGAUACUGAAGUUGUAGAUCCAUUUUUAGGUAGAAUGGUAUAUAUAUAGGAUUCCGAUACCUUAUGAGUAAAGUCCAACAGAGUUGAAAAUUGUAUCCUUCCAAAUAUAGAGUUUAUACACAAUGUAAGUUUCCAAUAGCUUAUGAGUGAGAUCCAGCAGUUUUUAAACUCGAUCAUUCCAAGUACAGAAUUUAUACACAGUGUUGUAGAGUCAAAGGAUUUUACUUAAAGUGACCUAAAAAUAGGGAGUGUAUCCGUUGGGUCAAAUCGAAAACAGGAAGAGAGGAAUGAUGAAAAAGAAAUGAUAGCAAUGAUAGCAAUGAUAACGCUAGUAAUAAUAAUAAUAAUAAUAAUAAUAAUAAUAAUAAUAAUAACGUUAACCUUGACCAGCAGAAUGUCAUAAAAGAAUUAGACCCAGCGGAGAGCUACAAGUACCUAGGGGUAAUUGAAGGGGACGGAAUAAGACAUUCAGUGAUGAAGGAAAGGAUCAGGAGAGAAUGUUAUCGCGGAGUAAGAGUAAUACUCAAGACAGAGCUGAAUGCGAGAAACAGGAUCGAAGCGAUCGAUGCUUUAGCCAUACCAGUGGUGACUUACAGUUUCAAUAUCGUUAACUGGUCAAUUACUGAAAUAUGUAAUCUUGACAGAAAAAUACGAAAACUGUUGACAAUACAUAGAAUGCACCACCCUAAGGUAGAUAUAGAACGACUUUAUCUGCCAAGAAAAGAGGGAGGCCGUGGACUUUUACAACUGGCAAUAAUAAUGAAGAUUGGUACAAUUGGCCUCGACACCUACCUGAAAAACUCUGAGGAUUGGAUGUUAAAACUUGUCUCAAAACAUGAAAACAAGAAAGCAUCAUACUCAGUAACAAAACAAGCAAAGGAAUAUCUAAGUGAAUUCCGAAUACAACAAAUUUCGGAAUUAGACAUACUAAAAACAAGCACAGAAAAAGCUAAACGCAUAAAAACCCGUGCUAAAACUGCUGCCUUAGAUAUUCUGAAUGAUAAAUGGCAAGAAAAACCUUUCUAUGGCAAAUACUCAAAGAGAGAGAAUAAUACAGAUGUUGACAAAGCCCUGACUAAUGGCUAAUGGACUCUGGCUUAAAAUCUGAAACAGGAGGGUUUAUCAUAGCAGCUCAAGAUCAAUGUCUACCAACAAGGAACUAUCAGGCCAACAUAUUAAAGAACGGCAGUAGCCCAACAUGUGUAUGUCAACAACAAAAUGAAACCAUUGAUCAUGUUGUCUCCAAGUGCAGUCUUCUAGCGCCUACAGAGUAUCUCAACAGGCAUGAUAGAGCUGCACAAUAUAUUCACUGGGUAAUCUGCAAAAACCUGGAUUUGCCCCAUGAUAAAAACUGGUAGGAACACAAACCACCUCCAGUACUUGAAAAUGACCACAUCUCACUCCUCUGGAACUUCACCAUUCAAACUGACAGAAAGAUAGAUACGAAUAGGCCAGACAUCAUAUUGAAAGACUUCAGACAAAAAACAUGCCUCCUCAUUGAUAUGACUGACCCAAUCGAUAUAAAUAUAUCUGUCAAGACCUACCAAAAACUGAGCAAAUAUAAAGAUCUUGAAAUAGAAAUCAGCAAAAUGUGGAAGCUGAAGACUAAAACAAUACCUGUUGUCAUAGUUGCCCUGGGAAUGAUAGCAAAAGGGGCUGAUCACUACCUAACUUAGAUACCAGGAAACCCCAAAAUGGCAGAAAUUCAAAAGACAGUACUCAUGGGAACUGCUCAUAUCCUAUGCAAAAUACUUUCUAUGUAAUCUCAAGUUUUAAAACAAACAUAAUUUUCGUAUGGUUUUUUAGACAUUCACUAGUACAACACUAAGUACAAAACCAUAUAUAUGGCACCCUAGGCAUAAAACCAACAUGAACUUCCAACUUGUCUCUUGAGGUCUCUGGGUGAGACUUGGAGCCAACUUGUACAAAUAUAAAGCAAAAGUCAAACAUAUAAUAAUAAUAAUAAUAAUAAUAAUAAUAAUAAUAAUAAUAAUAAUAAUAAUAAUAAAAACUGUUCUUAGUAUUUAAGGAAGCUGACAAAUACAAACAAGAAAUCAUACCACCUAAUAAACAUGAAGAAGAAUAAGAAGAUGAAGAAACAACAAAAGCUAUAAAACAAAUGAAAUCCAAACUAAAAAUAGAACAGCAACGAACCAUGAUAAAAAGAUGGCAAGAAAAGCCCCUUCAUGGUAAAUACUGGACUAAACUAAACGCAAAAGAAAUAGACAAAGAAAAAUCCCAGCAAUGGUUGAGAAGCUCAGGACUCAAAGCAGAAACAGAGGGAUUUUUAAUUACAGCACAAGACCAAAGCCUCCCCACCAGAAAUUACCAAAAACAUGUAAUGAAAAAAAAUAUUACAAGUAACUGCAGAAUAUGUGGAGAUGGACAAGAAACAAUAAAUCAUAUUAUCUCUCUAGCUGCCCAGUCCUGGCUAAGAAGGAAUAUAUUCACAGACAUGACAGAGUUGGAACCUACAUACAUUGGAAGCUAUGCCAACAUUAUGGAAUAACAACAGAAAAAAGAUGGUAUAGGCAUACACCAGAAAAAGGUCACAGAAAACGAGAAAGCAACCAUACUCUGGGAUAUGCCGAUACACACAGAUAGAGAAAUUAAGGCCAACAGACCAGAUAUAGUUGUCAGAGAUCAUGAAGAAAAAAAUGCUUUCUAAUUGAUGUAUCAAUACUGGCAGAUGACAACGUGUCUCUAAAAGAAAUGGAAAACUCUCAAAAUACAAAGACCUGGAAAUAGAGGUAACUAGAAUGUGGAAUCUGAAAACAGAAACAAUUCCUAUCAUAAUAGGUGCAUUAGGCAUGAUAAAAAAAUAUUCAGACAAAUACAUAACAAAAACACCAGGACUUACAAACACAUAUAACAUACAGAAAAUUGCACUACUAGGCACUGCACACAUCCUACGCAGAACGCUUUCCAUACAAUAACCAUCAGAGCAUCACAACAAAUUACAGCACAUACCCAAGGCACACAGAGCUGCGUUCGGUAGUGAAGUGAAAGCACGCUAUAAAAAUAAAACUACUGAAUAAUAAUAAUAAUAAUAAUAAUAAUAAUAAUAAUAACGUUAACCUUGACCAGCAGAAUGUCAUAAAAGAAUUAGACCCAGCGGAGAGCUACAAGUACCUAGGGGUAAUUGAAGGGGACGGAAUAAGACAUUCAGUGAUGAAGGAAAGGAUCAGGAGAGAAUGUUAUCGCGGAGUAAGAGUAAUACUCAAGACAGAGCUGAAUGCGAGAAACAGGAUCGAAGCGAUCAAUGCUUUAGCCAUACCAGUGGUGACUUACAGUUUCAAUAUCGUUAACUGGUCAAUUACUGAAAUAUGUAAUCUUGACAGAAAAAUACGAAAACUGUUGACAAUACAUAGAAUGCACCACCCUAAGGCAGAUAUAGAACGACUUUAUCUGCCAAGAAAAGAGGGAGGCCGUGGACUUUUACAACUGGCAAUAAUAAUGAAGAUUGGUACAAUUGGCCUCGACACCUACCUGAAAAACUCUGAGGAUUGGAUGUUAAAACUUGUCUCAAAACAUGAAAACAAGAAAGCAUCAUACUCAGUAACAAAACAAGCAAAGGAAUAUCUAAGUGAAUUCCGAAUACAACAAAUUUCGGAAUUAGACAUACUAAAAACAAGCACAGAAAAAGCUAAACGCAUAAAAACCCGUGCUAAAACUGCUGCCUUAGAUAUUCUGAAUGAUAAAUGGCAAGAAAAACCUUUCUAUGGCAAAUACUCAAAGAGAGAGAAUAAUACAGAUGUUGACAAAGCCCUGACUAAUGGCUAAUGGACUCUGGCUUAAAAUCUGAAACAGGAGGGUUUAUCAUAGCAGCUCAAGAUCAAUGUCUACCAACAAGGAACUAUCAGGCCAACAUAUUAAAGAACGGCAGUAGCCCAACAUGUGUAUGUCAACAACAAAAUGAAACCAUUGAUCAUGUUGUCUCCAAGUGCAGUCUUCUAGCGCCUACAGAGUAUCUCAACAGGCAUGAUAGAGCUGCACAAUAUAUUCACUGGGUAAUCUGCAAAAACCUGGAUUUGCCCCAUGAUAAAAACUGGUAGGAACACAAACCACCUCCAGUACUUGAAAAUGACCACAUCUCACUCCUCUGGAACUUCACCAUUCAAACUGACAGAAAGAUAGAUACGAAUAGGCCAGACAUCAUAUUGAAAGACUUCAGACAAAAAACAUGCCUCCUCAUUGAUAUGACUGACCCAAUCGAUAUAAAUAUAUCUGUCAAGACCUACCAAAAACUGAGCAAAUAUAAAGAUCUUGAAAUAGAAAUCAGCAAAAUGUGGAAGCUGAAGACUAAAACAAUACCUGUUGUCAUAGUUGCCCUGGGAAUGAUAGCAAAAGGGGCUGAUCGCUACCUAACUUAGAUACCAGGAAACCCCAAAAUGGCAGAAAUUCAAAAGACAGUACUCAUGGGAACUGCUCAUAUCCUAUGCAAAAUACUUUCUAUGUAAUCUCAAGUUUUAAAACAAACAUAAUUUUCGUAUGGUUUUUUAGACAUUCACUAGUACAACACUAAGUACAAAACCAUAUAUAUGGCACCCUAGGCAUAAAACCAACAUGAACUUCCAACUUGUCUCUUGAGGUCUCUGGGUGAGACUUGGAGCCAACUUGUACAAAUAUAAAGCAAAAGUCAAACAUAUAAUAAUAAUAAUAAUAAUAAUAAUAAUAAUAAUAAUAAUAAUAAUAAUAAUAAUAAUAAUAAUAAAAACUGUUCUUAGUAUUUAAGGAAGCUGACAAAUACAAACAAGAAAUCAUACCACCUAAUAAACAUGAAGAAGAAUAAGAAGAUGAAGAAACAACAAAAGCUAUAAAACAAAUGAAAUCCAAACUAAAAAUAGAACAGCAACGAACCAUGAUAAAAAGAUGGCAAGAAAAGCCCCUUCAUGGUAAAUACUGGACUAAACUAAACGCAAAAGAAAUAGACAAAGAAAAAUCCCAGCAAUGGUUGAGAAGCUCAGGACUCAAAGCAGAAACAGAGGGAUUUUUAAUUGCAGCACAAGACCAAAGCCUCCCCACCAGAAAUUACCAAAAACAUGUAAUGAAAAAAAAUAUUACAAGUAACUGCAGAAUAUGUGGAGAUGGACAAGAAACAAUAAAUCACAUUAUCUCUAGCUGCCCAGUCCUGGCUAAGAAGGAAUAUAUUCACAGACAUGACAGAGUUGGAACCUACAUACAUUGGAAGCUAUGCCAACAUUAUGGAAUAACAACAGAAAAAAGAUGGUAUAGGCAUACACCAGAAAAAGGUCACAGAAAACGAGAAAGCAACCAUACUCUGGGAUAUGCCGAUACACACAGAUAGAGAAAUUAAGGCCAACAGACCAGAUAUAGUUGUCAGAGAUCAUGAAGAAAAAAAAUGCUUUCUAAUUGAUGUAUCAAUACUGGCAGAUGACAACGUGUCUCUAAAAGAAAUGGAAAACUCUCAAAAUACAAAGACCUGGAAAUAGAGGUAACUAGAAUGUGGAAUCUGAAAACAGAAACAAUUCCUAUCAUAAUAGGUGCAUUAGGCAUGAUAAAAAAAUAUUCAGACAAAUACAUAACAAAAACACCAGGACUUACAAACACAUAUAACAUACAGAAAAUUGCACUACUAGGCACUGCACACAUCCUACGCAGAACGCUUUCCAUACAAUAACCAUCAGAGCAUCACAACAAAUUACAGCACAUACCCAAGGCACACAGAGCUGUGUUCGGUAGUGAAGUGAAAGCACGCUAUAAAAAUAAAACUACUGAAUAAUAAUAAUAAUAAUAAUAAUAAUAAUAAUAAAAAUAAUAAUAAUAAUAAUAAUGAUGAUAAUGAUAAUGAUAAUGAUAAUAAUAAUGAUAAUGAUAAUGAGAAUAAUAAUAAUAAUAAUGAUAAUAAUAAUAAAAAUUAAAAUAAUAAUAAUAAUAAUAAUAAUAGUAGUAAUAAUAAUAGUAGUAAUAAUAAUAAUAAUAAUUAUAAUAAUAAUAAUUGUACAAAUAUAAAGCAAAUGUCAAACAUAUAAUAAUAAUAAUAAUAAUAAUAAUAAUAAUAAUAAUGACAAUGAUAAUGAUAAUAAUAAUAAUAAUAAUAAUAAUAAUAAUAAUAAUAAUUCAAAAGACAGUACUCAUGGGAACUGCUCAUAUCCUGCGCAAAAUACUUUCUAUGUAAUCUCAAGUUUUAAAACAAACAUAAUUUUCGUAUGGUUUUUUAGACAUUCACUAGUACAACACUAAGUACAAAACCAUAUAUAUGGCACCCUCGGCAUAAAACCAACAUGAACUUCCAACUUGUCUCUUGAGGUCUCUGGGUGAGACUUGGAGCCAACUUGUACAAAUAUAAAGAAAAAGUCAAACAUAUAAUAAUAAUAAUAAUAAUAAUAAUAAUAAUAAUUGUACAAAUAUAAAGCAAAAGUCAAACAUAUAAUAAUGAUAAUAAUAAUAAUAAUAAUAAUAAUAAUAAUAAUAAUGAUAAUAAUGAUAAUAAUAAUAAUAAUAAUAUUAAUAAUAAUAAUAAUAAUAAUAAUAAUAAUAAUAUUAAUAAUAAUAAUAAAAUUUCAAAAGACAGUACUCAUGGGAACUGCUCAUAUCCUAUGCAAAAUACUUUCUAUGUAAUCUCAAGUUUUAAAACAAACAUAAUUUUCGUAUGGUUUUUUAGACAUUCACUAGUACAACACUAAGUACAAAACCAUAUAUAUGGCACCCUAGGCAUAAAACCAACAUGAACUUCCAACUUGUCUCUUGAGGUCUCUGGGUGAGACUUGGAGCCAACUUGUACAAAUAUAAAGCAAAAGUCAAACAUAUAAUAAUAAUAAUAAUAAUAAUAAUAGUAAUAGUAAUAAUAAUAAUAAUAAUAGUAAUAAUAAUAAUAAUAAUAAUGGUACAUCACACGUAUUGAGAAGAGCAUCUGGUACAUCACACGUAUUGAGAAGAGCAUAUUGUCUUAACUGGUACAUCACACGUAUUGAGAAGAGCAUUGUCGAUGUGAGAACUGUUGCUGCUCAUGUAUUUUAAUUUAACUUAAAAAAAAAAAAAAUAAAAAAUAAACGAACUACUGAGUUUGGUUUAAUGGCCUACCAAUAUACACUAUGAGUUUCUUUGCCCUAGGAGUCGGGAAGACACACGGCAAGAAAUGGAAGAAAAUUUGAAAGAAGAAAAAAAAAGUAAUAACAAUAAUAAUAAUGAUGAUGAUGAUGAUGAUGAUGAUGAUGAUGAUGAUGGUGGUGGUGGUGGUGGUGGUGGUGAUGAUGAUGAUGAUGAUGAUGAUAAAUAAUUGCCCUGGUGCAGUACUAGGCAGUGGCUCUCGUGGCUUCUGAUCUUAACUGACUGGAAAUGUUAUCAUGUACUGGUAUAAAAGAUGGGCUACAGCAAAUAUUCUGCUCAAUACCACAGAUUUGCUUGUCAGUUGUUUGACCUUAACCAGUUGAGCAUGUCCCUUAGUGGCUGACGAUAUGUGCAUCUCUGAUUAUGAGCAGAAGUAGUGGGGGAGCAUCAUAGCCAUGUGUUGAGAGGGCUGGAAAUAAUUCACCUUUGGAAACCUGAAUGUUUCGUUCAACAUCCUUAAACAAUCCUUAUUCGGGGACCUUUUGAGCGGGAUGGGCUACUCGCAAGGUCAUGUGCUGUUUAUCUUGAUAUGAGAUCACCAUGUCACACAUAUGGUUGUGAUGCAUGUACCUGGUGUACCCUUAUCAGAUGGGUGGUCAUGAUGGGUACACUGGGCUUCGUAUAUUUUACCCCAGUGUCACUUUGAUGGUAUGCACUGCUCUCUCACCCAAUAAUAAUAAUAAUAAUAAUAAUAAUAAUAAUAAUACGACGACGACGACGAUGAUGAUGAUAAAUGCCCUGAUGCAUUCUGAGAUAUGAUCAGUUUUCCAUAGUGUUGCCAAGCUCGGUAAACUCGAAUACAAGACAUCUUGGCAUUUAAAUUCAAAUUAUAUACACCUACCUAAACAUGUUCAGAUUAAUAAUUUAUAAUUAAUGCUGUACAUUAUACGAAAUUUUAGAAUAAGGAAAUACUGCUGAUAGAAAUUCCUUCACACAAUCAUUCAGGUAGUGUGGAAAACUAAGGAAAGUUCUUAGUCAUUAUUGUAUCAUCUUCCUCUGUAUCACAUUUAAUCAGAAAAAUAUAUUAUUUUUGUAGUUGAGGAGCCUGAUAAUAGCAUACAGAUUUGGAAUUUCUAUAAGCUGCUUUCUAUCAGAUUUCGCUCAGUGAUUAAUAUUGAAUAUAAAAUAACUUACUAUAUAAUUAUCUUCAAAGCAAACUUACUGCUGUUUGGUAAAUGUUCAUUCAUCAUAAAAUUUGCAUCCUGUUCCAAUAUUUUGUUGCUAAUUAAUUAAGUAGAGAGAUAGAAAACACGGAUAGACAAGUAACUUGCACAAAAUAAAAUGAAUUACUAACACUCGGAUUGCUGGCUGGAUCAGUCAAUGGGCAUACACACACACAUACACACACACACAAAAUAUGUGGGUCGUAUCGAUUUAAAAAUGAACGACACACAUUUCAGAGCAGCGAAGCUUUAUCAUCACACUCGUCAGAAGACAACGUGUGCCUGAGAUUCAGACCGUGUAAUCCUGUGUGUGUCUUGAAUUUUUUUGUUUGAGUCUAUGAGUAUUGCUACAGAUACAUGAAAGGAGAGAACAGAUAAAUUACUUCUUGCAUAUACUUUUAUUCAUACCUAUGUAAGUAAAAAGACGACACUUUAAUGAGAAAACAAAGAGGACAGCAAAAGUAUAUAUUAGCGACAGAUGCAGUCUUAAUACCGAGAGGUAAUAUUCAUCCCCACUUAAAUGUAGAUGUUCUAUUAAAAAAAAAACUUUACUGUGGUAGUUACCAUGAGAGAAACUCACGUAUUGGCAUUUUCGUGUAAAAUGCACUAUUGUUUAUAUCGCUCGCAGGGAGAUAAAUCCUUGCUAUUUCCAUUGCCGAGACCGCCGGAUUCAGAUGAUUUUGAAUUUGGUCUUGUCAAUGAUGGUUACUCCACCGCUAGAGACAGCAGCGAUUCAUGACCCCUCCAGCAAAAUAUAGAUUGACUAUACCAGAACAGGCAUUGGUGUUGCAAUUAGCCAGUGAGCUUGUUAAAAUAUAUAUUAGCGGCAGAGGCAGUAUUAAUACUGAGAGGUAAUAUUUAACCCUACACAAACGUGGAUGUUCGAUUAGAACAAACUUGACUACGGUAGUUACCAUGAGAGAAACUCUCGUAUUGCCUUUUUGGUGCAACAUGCAUUCUUGUUUAUAUCGCUUGCGGGGAAAUAAAUGUCCAAUGCCUACAUGCACUGGUGUCACCUCUGUCGCUAAUUUUUUUUUUUCAACAAGCUAACAUUAAUGCAAGUAUGUGUAUGCAUCCAUAUGAAAGAAUUUUAAUGAAUUUCAAUUUUUCCAAAAGCCGAAUCGAAGAAAGAUGACCAUCUAAGAGUUGAUCCCUCUGAUGUCCUGUGCUUUUUGUUUACCAAAUUCUGGCGUGACCUUCCGUGUUUUAAUCUACACAAACAAAUAAAGAAUACUUAUCCACCUUUGCGGUGCUGAGUACGCAUUCCCAGCGUUCGAUAUUUACGCGUUGCAAUGUUUCACCAAAGAGGAAAAUUAUAAUUGUCACUAAAUGUGACUAGUGUGUUAAGAAAUACCUACAUUGCUAGAAAUAAGAGCUAAAAUGCUCUAAUGCUGCAGUUAACGCACAUAAACGAAAACAUGUAUAGUAACAGGGAUCUGAAUCGUCCGAAAAAUGUAGUUAACGCUCAAGUCCCUGUUUUCAUGUACGUUAACUACAGCAUUAGAGCAUCUUACCUCUUAGUUCUUGUAAUGUAUGUGUUUCUUACCACCCCUGUCACAUUUAGUAACAAUUAUACUUCUUUUUCAUGAAACAUUGCAACCCGCUGCUUAUAUUAAUUUUAUGUAUACACAUUAACAAAUCUCUAAAUCAUCCAAUAAUUUUGAUGAUGAAAACAUAAAUACGAAUACGGAAACAAGUCCGGAAAAACCCGAAGAAUCGAGCGAGCUUAAGUGAUGAGGCAAUGGAAAUUGGCGAAAUUGGCGUCAGUAUUAACAAUUCUCGAUCGGCAUUUUUCGGGCGAUAUAUAUAUAUAAAACUGAGAAAAUGUAUCGGUCUGUCUGCGUGAAUCCCUAAAACUUGAGAACUACUUACUUAGGGUCCAUGUAGUGUCAUGGGCAAAAAUACUUUUUAACUUCUUGCCUAGGGCGAGCCCAAAGCAAUAUCAUAUCUUCUCUACUAUUUCAGUAUUACGUGUCAAAAGUGAAAGAAAAACAAAUCUCUAUUGUAAUGUCAGAUACUUUCACUUUAAUACUGAAACCAUUAAAAUGAAACUAUUAUAUAACAGGGAUGAACUGUAACUGGACAUCCAUUCUGCUAGAAGAUCUGCUAUAGUCUUAUAUGCUACACCACUGGUUUUAAAUUCAUACUAAUCAAAUUAAUAUUCAAAUUUUCACCCUUAUUAUUUUAAAUCUAAAUUUACAUGUAUAUAUAUAGAUGCAUAUAUAUAGAUGUAUAUAUGCAUAUAUAUAUAUAUGGACAUAUGUGUAUAUAUAUAUAUAUAUAAUAUUAGGGAGUAAAUCCAAACUUACAGGGAAAAAUUAGAUUUAGGAUUAAAUCAAAUUUCACAGUAUAAAUAUAAAUUAAAUUAGAGAUAAAACCACUAUUAGUGAAAAGCAUAAACCAAAACAUAAAAAUAAAUAUAAUUAAUAUAAUAUACAAAAUAUAUAAAAUAUAAAAAUUUUUAAAUAUUUUAAAAUAUUUUAAAAUUUAAAAUUUAUAAAUUUUUUAAUUUUUAAUUUUUUAAGUUUUUUUGUUUUUUAAAUAACUAUCAAAAAGUAUUAAAAAGUUUAAUAUAAUAUAAUAAGUAAAACCACUACGUACGUUUCAUGGCCAUAACCCAAUUCGAAUUACAAUAAUCUAAUUUACAAUUUAGUUUUAAAUUUAAAUAAUUUAAAUUUUGAAUUUUAUAUUUUAUAUAUUUUGUAUAUUAUAUUAAUUAUAUUUACUUUUAUGUUUUGGUAUAUGCUUUUCACUGUUUGAUUUGCCUAAUAGUGGUUUUAUCUCUAAUUUAAUUUAUAUAUAUAUAUAUAUAUAUAUAUAUAUAUAUGUAUAUGUAUACAUAUAUAUAUAUAUACAUAUAUAAACAUAUAUAUAUACAUAUAUAAAACUUAGAUAUGUUUCUAUCAAAGAUUGGUCUAGGCCAUGUCUAACUUGUUUAAGUCAAGUUUAAGUCAAGUUUUGUUUAUGGUCCAUUCAAGUAGUGAGUUUUUGUUGGGUGAGUUGUAUCCAAUUAUGGGUGGCUUAUCUGGUAUUCCUUGAAGGAAUCUAUCCAGACUCCGUUUAAAGUUGAUGGGCUCCUUUUCCUCUUUGAUCUCUUUCGGGACAAUGUUAAAUAGGGCAGAGCCUGUUGAGGAAAAGAAAUUAUGUUGCAGUGUACAUGUAUGCUGUGAUCUUGAAUUAUGCAGGGGACAUAUGGCCCGUGGUCCCAGUCUUGGAUGAACCUUGAAGCUAAUGCUCAGGUCGUUUGGGCAAAGUUGGCGGUAUAUUCUCCACAUCGGACAAAUGAUGUACCGCUCACGGCGACGCUGGAGAGAGUAGAGUUUCAAGGCUUUAAGGCGGUCCCAAUAAUCGAGAGCAGCCAUGCCUUCAAUUCGUUUAGUGAAUAUAUAUAUAUAUAUACAUAUAUAUAUAUGUAUGUAUAUAUACAUAUAUAUAUAUACAUAUAUAUAUGCAUAUAUAUAUACAUAUAUAUAUGUAUAUCUAUAUACAUAUAUAUAUAUAUAUAUGUAUAUAUAUAUACAUAUAUAUGUAUAUAUAUAUAUAUAUAUAUGUAUGUAUAUAUAUAUAUAUAUAUAUAUGUAUAUAUAUAUAUACAUAUACAUACAUAUUUUUUAUUUUUAUUUUUAUUAUUAAUUUUAUUUUUGUUCUUAUCCCUUCUCUAAUUUUUUUCUUUGUCUCUUUCUUUUCUGAUUUACCCGUACACCUCUGUAACUUGCUAAUUACUCACUUAUAAUGUAUUUACAAUGGUUUGCAACCGUCACACCACUCUGAGACAGACAUUUAGAUUACGUAGGUUCAUUUUGCGUGUGUGCGGGAAUGAAUCUUUGGACGCAUAGGUGUGGAGACCUGUAUACUUCACGAGUUAUACGUACCCCCGCACGGAAGUAUACCCCCGCCUGUGAGGGCGCACACACUUUAGCGCACGUACGUGUAGAUGCGAGCACGAGCAUACAUGUGCAUGUAUGUCCAUGUGUGUGCGGGUAGUGGUGGGCGUAUAAACACGUUUGUAUAGGUGUGUACGCAGGUAUGUAUAUGAAUUUGUUUAUAUAUGUGUGCGUGUGUGUGUGUACGUAUACUUAUACGUAUGUAGGUAUGGGCGCUUGUGCGUGUGUGUGUGUAGUUAUAUGUGUAUGCGUAUGUAUACUUGUAUGCGCAUUUCUAAUUCCUCCUUGUCUGAGUGCAUGGAGGUGCGCAUGCACGUGCGUAGGCAUGCGAAUGGAUGUACCUGUUUCUGUGCAUAUGCAUAUAUGCAUAUUUUGGUGUAUAUGCAUAGGGAUUUACUUCCUCAUGUGUGUGAGUGUGUGUAUGCAUAUUUUUGUGUGUAUGCAUAUUUUUGUGUAUAUGCAUAGGGAUUUACUUCCUCAUGUGUGUGAGUGUGUGUGUAUGUGUGUAUGUACGUGUAUGUGUAUACGUACAUAUGCGCGUGGGUUCUUGUACCCAACUAUAUGCGCUUUUUUUCCGUAUGUAUGUGUAUAUUGAGAUAUUUAUGUAUGUGCGCAUAUACGUAUAUAAGUGUGUAGAUGUGCGGGCUUGAUAUAUGUACGUGUGAGUAUGUAUUUGUAUGUACACGAGUGCGUCUGCAGAGGCGUGUUAAUGUAUAUGCUUUUAUGUAUUUAGUUUGUGCGGGUUUAGGUAUCUGUACGUAGCGGGACGUAUGUAUAUGCGUAUCCCUGUCGGUACUUUUACACGAGAGUAUGUAUGUAUAUAUACGUGUGGAUGUGUAUAUGUAUGCAUGCGUGUACGUGUGUACAUGUUGACCGUUAGUAACACAGUCCCAGACAAUUUAUGAGAAAGUAGAUAAACUAUUUAACCACAAACCAGACAACCUAUAUUGACCAUCCACUUGGUCUCCAGAUAAUUAAGUUAAUUUAUGACACCCGCCAAUACACCCUUUAGCUUCAACAACCGGAAUAUGUCAUUUUUCUGUACCUUACGUUAUCUUCCAUCCACCACUUUAUAUUUCUCCAUCCCUUUAUAUUUCUUUAUCCCUUUAUAUUUUAUUUUUAUUUUUAUUUUUUAUUUUUUAUCCUUAUUUUUUCGUCUUUAUUUUUCGCUUUUUUAUCUUUAUCUCUAUUUAUUUAUAUUCCCAUGCUUUUUUCACGUCUUUGUGUAUUUAUAUAUUUAUAUUUUUAUAUAUUUAUAUACUUAUAUACUUUUUAUAUUUUUUAUAUUUUUUUAAUUUUUACUCUUUUUUAAUUUUUUACUCUUUUACUACAUUUUGCACCUACUACUCUCCCUCUUUGUGAUCCCUAACUCAUUAAAGAUUCACCCCACCCCCAACUCCUUCCCUCUCUAUCUCAACAUCCAAUCUCCUCAUUCUACAUCGAGUGAUAAAUGGGAUGGACGCUUUGUUUUUGUUUUGGUGCCUUGCUCUGUUGUACACGACUAUGAGGAUUUGUAUCCCCAACGUAAAUCGUCUUUUUCCCAAACUUAUAAUGUAAUACAUGUCCUUGAAGUAGUAAUUGUACGCGGCUGAAUAAGGGUAUUGACAUACAAAUUACAUCAAUUAUGCAUUGAUAUAAACCGUCUAAUAAAAGCCAGAAACAUAUGUACCGCUAAAUCCUUUGCAUCAUGUUUUUAUUUUGAUAAAUAUAUAUAUAUACAUAUAUAUAUAUGUAUAUAUAUAUAUAUAUAUAUAUAUAUAUAUAUAUAUAUAUAUAUAUAUAUGAAAUGGAUAAAUGAAUUAUCUUGUUACGGAUUAUUCAAAAUUUAACCGAUACCUGUGUAGCAAAAAUCACACCAGAAAAGACACGGUUGAGGUUACGACCAUGGGGUUUAGCCCCCGUGCUUUAGCGCGGAUAAUUGAAGUUUUAUAUAUUUAUAAUAAGUUCGAUAAGCUUGCUGCGCAUUUGUUUUGAGAUUUUAAAUUCCUGGAUUUUCCUGAAGAGAAAGCUGCAGAAUGGUCUCCUUAUUCAAUCCGAAUUUGGGAAUUUGCAGCCUUUGAAACAUGUGUAGAAAAUAAUAAAAAGGAAUUUUGUAGAAUCUUCGUUCGGCUCCAUUUCUUCCCUUCACUAUAUAUAUAUAUACGCAUAUAAAAAAACUAGUACUUUCCAUAUUAGAAAACGAGGCCUUCUACGAAAAAAUUAUAAACUAUAAACAACAAAAAACAAUGAAAAAUCUUGCAUCCUUAAUUCUUCUACAUGGAAAAGGCCUGAUAGAAAAGAAACAGACUACAUCACGAACUUCAAAUGUAAACCCAGUCUUUUUUACGACCUUCCUAAAAUACACAAGAGCAAGAUAAUCAAUGAAGCCUGCAAACAAUCACCAGGCAAAUAUAUAAAUAUCCAAACACCAGAAGACUUGACUUUAAGACCCAUUGUAGCUGGGCCAGUCUGUGAAACCCACCGCCUAAGCAAUUUUCUAGACAUCCUACUGAAACCCUUGCUGAAAUACAUCAAAAGUUUCAUUAAAGAUGAUUUAGACAUGCUAGAACACCUACCAACAUCAAUUAAUGAAGAGGCAAUAUUGGUUACCAUCAAUGUCAUCAAUUUUUACAUCAACAUGACUAUGGAAUAAAAGCAAUUAAAUUCUGGUUGGAAAAGUACACUGAAGUACUCCCGGAACGCAUAGAUCAGAUCUUUAUUAUUGAAUCUUUAACAUUUAUACUUCAGAACAAUUAUUUCCUAUUUGAUGACACUUACUAUCGUCAUAAAUGUGGCAUUGCGAUGGAGACGAAAGCAGCCCUGUUCUUGCGAAUCUAAUAUGGGUUAUUUUGAAUUCACCUUAUAUGAAGUAUCACUUCAGAAAUAUGGUUACCCAUUUUACCUCUACAUAAGAGAAAAUUGGAAAAGAUACCUGGAUGACUGUUUUAUCAUUUGGAAGGAGAACAUCGACAAACUUUUGAAUUUCAAAACAAAACUAAAUGAUAUAAAUAGUAACAUUCAAUUCACAAUGGAAUAUAACCAAGAACAACUUCCAUUUUUUGACAUCAUGACAAAAAAAGUUAACAAUGAAAUCAUAACUGACAUUUAUUAUAAACCAACUGAUUCUAAACAAUAUCUUCUUUUUAACUCAUGCCACCCGAAACACAUAAAAAUAAACAUCCUUUUUAACUUAGCAAUAAGGAUUUGCACAAUAGUGUCUGAUAGAACAACUCGGGACCUCCGUCUUCAAGACCUUAAAGCAACACUUAUUGAAAGAAAAUAUCCACCCUCUCUUAUCGACGAGGGAAUUAAACGUGCCAAAUAAUUAGACACAAAAACACUAAGAACAAAAUAAAAACAUAACACCACACCUCAAACCAAAACAUUACUUUUUAUAUCAACACACAACCCCAGAAACAGUGAGGCAUUCAACACUAUUGUGCAAACUCUCCCUUUACUAAUUAGAGAUCCAAAAAUGAACGACAUCCUGAAAACACACAAACUCAUCAAAUGCAAAAAAAACAAGACAAAUCGCUAAAGAGACUACUAACAAAUGCGAAGCUUUACAAAACAACCACGAAACCAACGGCUGAAAAAUGUGGACGCCCGAACUGUGGAACCUGCCCCAACCUGCUUGAAGGCUCGGAUUUCCUUUUCAAACAAGAACAGAGGCUCACAAUUAAAACUAGUUUCACCUGUGCCUCUGAGAACUUAAUUUAUAUAAUAACCUGCUCAGGUUGCGUUCAUCAGCACAUUGGACAAACGAGUUUGACUUUGAGAAAGAGAAUCACUCUACAUAAAGAGCAAAUCCGUUUCCCGCAACACAGACAAAUUCCUCUAAGUGAACACAUAGAAAAAUGUUUAGGUAACAUCAAACCAAAUUUCAGUCUUCCCUUUCUACCAGUGCAAAGACGCAGUCUCUCAACUAGAACGGUUAAAUAAAGAAACUUUUUUCAUUGAAAAAUACAAAACACGUCUUAAUAUGCACGCAUAACCAACUUCAAAAUUUUUACAUAUUCCAUUCACGAUUACAUCACUGGACAUAAAUCCCCUACUAAACAAGGUUUUUUAAAACCUGUCUCUUUUCUGUACACAUAUUUAAUCCGAAAUUUACCGAAAGCUGAACAGUUAUCUCCCUUACACACAACAAUAACAAUAAUAACAACCAAUUACCUCCCUUUAUUUGUCUACUUGUGAAGUCAUUCACUCGUGAAUUUCAUCACACACAACAUGGACCAAAUUUCUUCUUAAGAAAAAAAUAUAUAUUCAAAUAAAUUAAACAUAAUAUCAUGAAUAACGAUAGCGAAACCGGUCGAUAUAUUAAAAAGUAUAUUAAAACCAAGUGUGCGUAUUUUUCCUUUUUUAAUUUCUUAUAUACAUUACAACCCACCACGUGGAGACAAUCGAAAUUCCUUUUUUCUGUUACUAUAUAUAUAUAUAUAUAUAUAUAAAACUGAGAAUGUGUGUCUGUCUGUCUGUGUGAAUCCCUGAAACUUGAGAACUACAUAUAUAUAUAUAUAUAUAUAUAUAUAUACAUAUAUAUAAGUUCAGCAAACAAUUUAAAUUCAAAUGAAUAUGGUACCUAAUUUAGAUGCACCAGAAUUUUUUAUGGUAUUACCCAUAAAAAUAUGCGGGGUGAUUAUAAUUAAAAAUAAACAACAAGAAUGGAUCCGGUAAUUUAGUACAAUUGUUUCAUACUAUAACAUUUUAUUAAAAGCUGUAAAUAUUACAGCAGAUAUAAUAUGUCAAGUAAUCUUCAGCUAAUUUUAUAUAGGUUUUCCAAUAAUAUAAAGUUCUCAAAUCAAUUAGUAACAUCUUAGAAAAGGUAAAUAUACAGAUAAAGAUAUAGAUAUGAAUUUCAGAAACAUGAGGUAUUAUAGUUAGGAUGCUAGCCAGACCCAAAUUAAGUUCACAACUAACUGUUGUAAGAAAAAUUUCUUUAGUGAUAAGUAUGGUGGUAAGGGCAGGUCAAGGAAUCAAGUUAGUUGAAGAACAGAAGGGGAAAAAUUUAGGACGUGUAAAAGACAAGCAGAUUGACACUAGAGCAAAGGGUCAAUCUAUUUAUGUGGUAACAGAAGAUUUAGGUCAGUGUGGAAGGAACACUAAAUUCUUAAGAGACUGUGAAGCUGACCAGGCCUUACUUUCAACUGAAAGCCAUCAGAAUUUUUAGUAGGAAUUUAGUGAAGGAGAUAUGAAGGACAGCUGUAAAAGGGGUUUAAGUAGAGAGAAUACGUUAAGGAAAUCAAGGUUAUCACUAGAACAGAAAGCUAUUUUUAUUUAUUUUUAUAUGGUGAGAAAAAAUCUAGGUCAAUGUCCAGAGGUCAAUUAAAUUCUUUUGUAAAGGGUAGGGGAACAACACCUCAUCUAAUUUAUAGUAGAUAUCGAAUUUUAUAACUUGGGGAAUAAUAUUAAAUGUUAAAAUUAGAAUAGAAUUGGGAAAAUGUGAAAUUUCAUGAAUAAAGUAAGGUUAAUUUAGUUGACUAUAAAAGUAAAUUAGAGGUUGGUAUAGUAUAUCUCAUAUUAUUAUUAUAUUAAAAAGAUACAGUUAGAAAAGGUAGGAAAACCUUAAAAUUUCUAUUUAAAAUAUUUGAAAGUUCUAAUUGUUGAAUGAAUGCAAGAGUGGACCUAACUCUAGACGAUUAUUUAGUAGAUUUUUAUUACUUCGAUACUUUAAAAUUUCGCAGGUUUCCAUAGAACAGACUUGGCAGCCUACUCUAUUAUUUCUAUAAGGUUUUGCCCUCCUAACUAUAUCCCAUUUUAGGUUGUAUUCUAUAUUAUUAGUUUUAAGUUCCCAAAUUUUGCUAGAUAGUGUAGUACAACCUGCCUUAUGUUUCCUCUUACAUUACUGUUAUUUAAAUUAUUAUUAGUAAUAUUAUUAGUAUUAUUUUCAUUAUUAGUGGUCAUAUUGUUAUGUAAAAAGGGUUUAUUAUUUAUUGAUCCAUUUACACUAUCAUUCACAUCCAACAUACCAAUACCUUUAUUACAUACAAUAUUGGUAUUGCUAUUAUUAUUUGUAUUUAUAUCAGUGUUGUUAUUAUUGUUAUUAAUAUUAUUGCUAUCAUCAUUUUUAGUAUUAUUUUCAUUUUUAUUAUCCUAUUAUUACCAUUAUAUUUAUUUUUAUUGAUAUUAUUGAUAUUAUUAUUAUUGUUGUUGCUCUCAUUGUGGUAAUGAUUAUUAUUAUUAUUUCUAUUUUUGAUGCUAUUAUUACAAUUAUUAUUACUAUACAUGUUGAUACUAAUCAUACUACUCCCGGCUAACUUUUGUACACACACACAUAUAUAUAUAUAUAUAUAUAUAUAUAUAUAUAUAUAUAUAUAUAUAUAUAUAUAUAUAUAUAUAUAUGUAUAUAUAUAUAUGUAUAUUGUACAUAUAUAUAUAUAUACAUAUAUAUGUAUAUAUAUAUAUACACGUAUAUAUGUAUAUAUAUAUAUACAUUUAUAUAUAUAUAUGUAUAUACACACACACACACAUAUAUAUAUAUAUAUAUAUAUAUAUAUAUAUAUAUAUAUAUAUAUAUAUACAUAUAUAUAUAUAUAUACAAUACCGAGAAUGUGUGUCGGUCUGUCUGUGAAUCCCUAAAACUUGAGAUCUACACAACCAAUUUCAUUCAAAUUUUACGCAUGUCUUACUAAGGGUCCAUGUAGUGUCAUGGGCAAAAAGUUUUUAACUUCUUGCCUAGGGCGAGGCCACAGCAAUAUCAUAUCUUCUCUACUGUUUCAGUAUUACGUGUCAAAAGUGAAAGAAAAACAUCUCUCUGUUGUAAUGUCAGAUACUUUCACUUUAGUACUGAAACUAUUAAAAUGAAACUAUUAUAUAACAGGGAUGAACUGUAACUGGACAUCCAUUCUGCUAGAAGAUCCGCUAUGGUAUUUUAUACUACACCACUGGUUUUAAAUUCAUACUAAUCAAAUUAAUAUUCAAAUUUUCACCCUUAUUUUAAAUCUAAACUUACAUGUAUAUAUAUAUAUGUAUAUAUAUAUAUAUAUGUAUGUAUAUAUAUAUAGAUGUAUAUAUAUAGAUGUAUAUAGAUAGAUGUAUAUAUAUAUAGAUGUAUAUAUGUAUAUAUAUAUAAAUAUAUAUUUAUAUAUAUAUAUAUAUAUACAUAUAUAUACAUAUAUUUAUAUGUAUAUAUAUAUAUAUAUAUAUACAUAUAUACAUUUCCACUCCACUCUCCACUCUGCUUCAUCCAUCCUACCCAUACUCCGUACCACAUCUUACCGUCUUAUGCGUGCCACCAUUCGCCCAUUCGCUCCAAUCUCUCUAAAAUACAUACCAUCGCCCGCCUUCUCCCUCCAUCUUUUUCUCCUCUCUGCCGCCCUUUCUUGCUCACAACACGUUGCGUUAUAAAAUUCAUUUCAAUCAUCUCUUUCAUCAAUUUCUUGCCAACACCAAACUUCGUAAAUUCCACUCACUCCUCCAUUCCGUCACACCCGAUGCCACUACCCCGACUCCUCCACUACCCUUCUCCCUCCCUGAUAGGCUCCACUCUCCCCCCAACCCCCCAACCCCUCACAUAUCCCCACUCCCACCCCCAGCCUUCCAUCAGCCCUAUUACCCCUCCUACCUCCGCCCUAUCUACCCCUCCUACUUCUAUUCCAUCCACCCCUUCUCCACUUCAGUCUGCUGUUACCAUUCCCCCAGAUCUUCCCCUCUCUGUGGCGGAGCGCGCCAUCUUCAGUAGGGGGUCUGCGUUUCAUCUCCCUCACUACAUCCUGUAAGGAAUUUCAGACUCGUGCUGAUAUCCACAGCUUUGUGCGCUUUUCCGCAACACUCCACCCGCAUCAAACAAGGAAGACUGCUUCACUGACCUGGGCCGCCGACUAUCCCAGUGGACGCCUGCUCCUGGCCAGUUCCAAACAGUGGAUCUUUUUGCGGGUGCCUGUCAGCGCGCUUUGGAGCGGUUCAACUUCUCCAGGCGUCACCGUCGUCUCAACAUCUCCCCAGCCGAACUCUCGGCUCUUCGUUCCCUCCUACGGCGCGCUGACAUCGUUAUUAAACCAGCCGACAAGGGUGGAGCUGUGGUGGUAUGGCGCGCGGCCCUUACAGGGCCGAAGCUCUCCGCCACCUCCAUGACACCUCCUUCUACUGCCCUCUGUCCUCUGACUCCACGCCCAGCUGCCAACAGACGGUCUCUUCUACCAUCCACGACCUCAUCUUGUCCUCCCGUCUCCCCCACACCGCAUUCAACCUCAUUGUCCGAAUCCCCCGCACACCCACCAUUUACUUCCUCCCCAAAAUCCACAAACACAACAACCCUGGCCGCCCCAUCGUCUCCGCCAGUAACUGCCCCACCGAGCUUAUCUCCAAAUAUCUCGACCGUGUGCUUGCUCCCUAGUGGCUUCUCUUCCUUCUCACAUCCAUGACACCAACAAUACUCUUCGUCUUUUCAACUUUUUCUCCUUCCCUCCUGGCUUCUCCAAACUUCUCUUUACAAUGGACAUUCAGAGCCUCUACACUGUGAUCCCUCACCACGAGGGGCUGCGUGCACUUAAACACUUCCUGGACCUCCGACCCAAUCCCUAACCCGACACCUCCACACUCGUUCGUCUGGCCGAACUUGUCCUCUCACUCAACUGCUUCUCGUUCGCGGGCGAGUUCUACCAGCAGUCUCGGGAGUGGCCAUGGGAACGAGAAUGGGCCCAAAGAAUUCUCGUCUCGAGAGAAUGCUAAUGGAAAUUGAGAAAAGUCUGCAUCAGUCUCAUGAAAAAGAGAGAGCAGAUAAAGAAGCUUGGGUAAUAGAAAGUAUCAAGUCAAACCCUAAAGCUUUCUUUAAGUUUGCCAAAGGUACAGCCACAGUGCGCCAGAGAAUAGGACCACUCUUCCAAAGAGAUGCCUCCCUCACAAGAAAUCCCACGAGAAUAAGUGAAAUACGGAACGAACAGUUCUAAAGUGUGUUCACUACACCUCUAGGACAUAGGCAAGUAAACAAACCAGAAGAAUUCUUUGCCACUUUACCUGUGGUCAAAGAAGCAAAACUUGAGUACAUCAACAUUGAAGAUGAUAUCACACUGGACAUAGAUGAGAUUGACACAAACUCAGCUGCUGGACCUGAUGGAUUCUCAGCGAUCCUUCUCACAUCGUGCAAACGAGACCUUGCAAAACCGCUACAGCUUCUUUUUCAGAGCUUUCUUGGAAGUGGUAAGCUCCCCGUCAAAUUGAAAGAGGGGGUAAUAUGCCCUAUCCAUAAGGGAGGAGGCAGAGCAGAUGCUAAAAAUCAUAGGCCUAUCUCUCUGACCUCACACAUCAGUAAAGUCAUGGAACGAAUAGUCCGCAAGAAACUAAUCAUGCUCCUUGAAGAAAAUGACUUGCUGACUGACACCCAGCAUGGAUUUCGACCAGGUAGAAGCUGCCUAACACAGCUCCUGCAACACAAUGACUGGGUGUUAAAACAGCUACUAAAUGGCUCAAAUGUAGAUGUGAUAUAUCUCGACUUUGCAAAAGCCUUUGAUAAAGUCGACCAUGGUAUGAUCUGUCACAAACUGCGUGGUCUCGGCAUAGACGGAAAACUUGGAGAGUGGCUGCACAACUUCCUAAAAGAUAGAAGGCAGGCAGUUGUGAGCAAUGGAGCCACCUCCAAGGAAACACAAAUAACAAGCGGUGUUACACAGGGCACUGUCUUGGGGCCACUGAUGUUCAUAGUGGCCCUUUCAGACAUGCCCUCAGUUGCUAAGAUUGCCACCCUUGCUAGCUAUGCAGAUGACACAAAAGUCUCGCACACAAUACAAAACCCUGGAAAUAUUGCACAUCUGCAACGGGAGUUGGAUACAAUAUACAGGUGGGCUGAGGACAACAACAUGCAGUUUAAUGCAGGGAAGUUCCAGGCCUUGUGCUACCGGCACACAAAGGUAAACGACAUGCAAAAUGGAUACACUGGCUUGGAAGAAUUCUAAUUCCUGAGUCAAAAUCUGUGCGUGACCUAGGCAUUGACAUCUGCAAUGAUGCAUCUUUCCAAGUGCAUAUUAUUAAUUUGGUGAUAAAAUGCAGAACAAGAGAGAAGGAAACACUGAUGGUCCUUUGGAAAACAUUCGUCCUCAGCCAACUAUGAUCACCACACAAUAUAAAACUAACAGCAGAACUCGAAGCAAUUCAACGAAGCUACACUACGAAGAUCGUCUCAAUGCAACAUAUCAGCUACUAGGAAAGACUGAAAGUAUUAGAACUCUUCUCCUUGGAGCGAAGGCACGAGAGAGAUAUGCAGUGAUAUACAUCUGGAAAAUCCUCGAGGGUCUUGUCCCAAACUUUGGCAUUCAAAGUUACCCCAACCGCAGAACGGGGCGCCACUGCAGGGUGCCAAAGAUUCCAACAUCACCAUCAAAAUACAGGAUCAGAUACUGCAACAGCUUGGGUUUCAGAGGACCACAGCAACAUCAUCCCUAAAUGCCUGAGAGACCUGCAUGAUGUGGAUGUGGGUUUCUUUAAAACUAAACUGGAUCUCUUCUUGUCGGGGGUCACAGAUGAAUCUACCUCUCGGUAGGAAACACAGAUGCGAGCAGCGGCAUCGAACUCCUUUGUUGAUCAAGUGCCACGUAUCAGAGGUGGUUUCACAUACUAGUGUAGAUCAUUCAACGGUGGUGCCCCAGCAUGGCUGCAGCCUUCGGGCUGAAACAUUUUUAAGGAUUUAAGGAUUUAUAUAUAUUUACCUAUUAUUGACUAUAAUUCGAAUUUUCAAUUGAAUUUAAACUUAAUUGUAAUUCGAAUUUAAUUAUAGCCAUGAAACGUACGUAGUGUUUUACUUAUAUUAUAUUUAUAUUUUUUAUACUUUUAGGUUAAAAAAAUUUUUAAGUCAAAAAUUAAAAAUUUUUAAAUAUAAAAAUUUUAAAUUUUAUAUUUUAUAUAUAUUAUAUAUUAUAUUAAUUAUAUUUAUAUUUUUUGUUAUUUGUGUAUUGGUUUAUGUCUAUCACUGUUUGUGUUGCCUAAUAGUGGUUUUAUAUCUAAUUUAAUUUAUAUUUAUAUUUAUACUGUGAAAUUUGAUUUAAACCUAAAUCUAAUUUUUCCCACUAAGUUUGGAUAUAAUUCCUAAUAUUAUUAUUAUUAUAAUUAUUAUAUUGAUAGCUUACGUCUAUUGAGUGUAUUAUCUCUAUUUCGUAUGUGAUGGAACUUACAGGUAAGAUAGAACCGCUAUUUUGGAAUUCAUCUUUGAAGGAUAUUCCAAUACCCUCUAGGAAAGAAUAUAUUUUGAAACUUAUUAAUAAUAUUAAGUAUUUUGUUUCUAGCAUUAAGUGGAAAGCCUACCAUUAUAACUAUAAUAUAUCUAAUUUUUAUGAUAUUAUGAAUUAUAAUGAUUUUGCUUCAAAUUUUAAAUCUAAAAAAGAACCCCCAUAUAAUAGGGAUUUACAGAUCUUAGAAGAUAAUAUUUGGAAGGUGGUGAAAAAUAUUAAAUUUCAUAAAUACCCAAACAGACAUAAUGAAUAUUUAAGAAAUUUAGCUAUUAGAAUUAAAGAAAUGAGAAAUAUGGAUGGUGUUAUUGUACAAUCAGAUAAAACUAGGAAUCUAUUUAAACUGGAUGUUAAAUCAUAUGAUAACCUUUUAGAGAAAGAGAUAAUUAAAAAACAUAAAAUUGUUCCAGAUAAUAUACUUUAUACUGUAAACAAGGCCUCUAAAUUAGUCAUGAUGAACUAUAAGUUGGAUAAUAAAACUGAACCUUAUGUACCUAUGCACCCUAGAAUUACUUUGAAAGACCAUAAAGAUAAUUUUUAUUCAUAUCCUAAAGUUAGAUUAAUUUGUCCAUGUAAAUCAGACUUUGGUAAAUUGAGUAAACUCAUUUUAGAUAAAUAUAUUAAUAAAUUAAAUUAAUUAAACUACCUAAACUUAUGGUUUAGUAAUAAUAAUACUCUAAAUUGGUUUAAUAAUAUUAACGAAAAAAAUCGAUAUAAAGUUAUUCAAAUAGAUAUAGAUAAUUAUUCUUCUUCUAUUAAUGAAAUUGUGUUUAAUAAGGCCCUAAUAUACGCAAUGAAUAAGGUAGGAAUGACUAUUGACGAAGUUAAUGUAAUUAAAAUGGCUAGGAAAUCGUUUAUUAGAUACAAUGAUAAAUUAUGGGCUAGGAAGGAUACUAGAGACUAUUUUGAUAUACCUAUGGGGGCACCCGAUUCUGCACAAGCUACGGAUUUGGUAGGUAUUUAUAUAUUAUCUGAACUUCAAUUAGAAAAUUUAAAACUAGAGGAUGGUUUAUAUAGGGAUGACCUUUUAUUAAUUACUAAGAAUUGUACUAAUAGGAAACUAGAAUUAUAUAAGAAGAAACUUUAUAGUUUCUUUAAAAGAUAUGGUUUAAGUAUUACUAUAUAUAAUGAAAACUAUAAUGUAAAUUAUUUAGGUGUUAAUUUUAAUCUAAUAACGGGUGAAACACAACCAUAUCAUAAAUUUAAUGAAAACCUUAGAUAUAUAAAUGUUAAUAGUAAUCACCCACCAUCAACUAAAAAAUCGUUGAUAAAUAAUAUAAGUAAACGAAUAACAUUACUUUCUAAUGAUUUAGAGAUUUUCAGUAAACAUGCACCUUAUUAUGAUGAAGCCCUGCGAGAGGCAGGUUAUAAUAAUAAUAUUAAAUUCAUUAAUAAAACUUAAAAUAUUAAUAUCAAUAAUAAUUAUAAUAAUCAUGGUAGUAAUAUUAGUAGUAAUAUUAAUAAUUGUAGUACUUAUAAAAGUAAAGAUAAAAAUAAAAAUAGAAAUAAGACGAAUUUUAAUAUUAAUUCAAUAAAUGAUAAUUAUAAUUAUAAAUUUAAUUUUAAUAAUAUUAAAAAGAAAUAUAAUAAUCGUAAUGGUAAUUAUAAUAAUAACAAUAAUAAUAAUAAUAAUAAUAAUAAUAAUAAUAAUAAUAAUAAUCGUAGGAGCACUAGGAAUGAUCAAGAAGGAAACCGAAAAUUAUAUGAGAAUGAUCCCUGGCUUACCAUCCCUGCAAGAAGUGCAAAAGAUUGUCUUAACUGGUACAUCACACGUAUUGAGAAGAGCAUUGUCGAUGUGAGAACUGUUGCUGCUCAUGUAUUUUAAUUUAACUUAAAAAAAAAAAUGAACCAACUAUUGAGUUUGGUUUAAUGGCCUACCAAUGUAUACUAUGAGUUUCUUUGCCCUAGGAGUCGGGAAGACACUCGGCAAGAAAUGGAAGCAAAUUUGAAAGAAGAAAAAAAAAGUAAUAAUAAUAAUAAUAAUAAUAAGAAGAAGAAGAAGAAGAAGAAGAAGAAGAAAAUUUGGUUAAUUGUUCCUUAUGGGGAUCAAGUUAAAACUAACAUUAUUAAAGAGAUUUUAGAUAUUAUUGAACAAUUCAUUUAGAUAAUUGUAAAUAUAAAAAAAUUUUCUCUAGUAAUAAUUUUGGAGUAGGUUAUUCUACCACUAAUAAUGUAGGUAACAUUAUUUCUUCUUUUAACAAAUUCAAGUUGAAUAAUUUUUAUAAAACAAAAUUUUAUAAUCAUACCAAUAAUAAUAAAGAUAAGACACUCAUUGAUUGUACAUGUAGAGAUAAAACUAAGUGUAAAUUUAAUAAUAAAUGUGAUUUAAACGAUGUUGUAUAUAAAUGUAUAGUUACAUUAAUUAAUGAGAAUAAUAGGAAUAAUAAUAACUUAAACGCCAUUUAUAUAGGAUCAACUUCCUCUAAAAUAAAAUUAAGAAUCGCACAACAUAUGAAUUCAUUUAAAAAUAAAAACCUGAUUAACUCUACAGGGCUUAGCAAAUACAUAUGGGGGCUAAAAUCCCAACGUAUUAAGUAUAACUUAAAGUGGGAAAUAAUUUGUAAGGCCAAAUCAUAUAGUAUAGGUAUUAUUGUUAUUUGUGUUCUAGUGAGUUUAAUGAAAUAUUAUUUAAUAUUCAUAAUAAUUUAGUGAACACACUGGACGAGCAUAAAAUUAAAUGUAGACACAGAUUACUUAUAUAAUAAUUUUUUAGAUAAAUAGCGACUAUAUUUAAACCCUAUUUUGUUCCUAAUUUGUAGUUAUAUGUACUAGUAUUAAUCUAAAAUUUAGUAUGUGAUUUAUAAUAUAUAUUACAUGAUUUAAUAAUUUUAAUUUAAUAUUAUUAAAUAAAUAAUUAAAUAAUUUAAUAAAUUUAAUAAAUAUAUUAAUUAAUGAUAGUAGUGUUGUGUGGUUUGAGUAUUAGUCUAUAAGAGUUAGUAAAGGUUCUUUAAAUACUUAUAGUUAGAUUAUAUUUAGAUGUUUAUUUUAUUACUAAAUAUUUAAUGGUUUUAAUGAAUAUAGAUUAUAUGAUGGUUUAUAAUUUAGAAUGUAUAGGAUAAUAAUUCUUUUUUCUUUAUGUAAUACUUUUUUAUAAUGAUAUGUACUUUAUUUAUUCAAUUAAAGAACGAUGUAUUUGAUCUAAAUAUAAAUUAGUUUACCUAUAUAAUAAGUUUAAUUUAUUAUUGUUUAGCAUUUAUUUUGAGUAUUAAUAUGAUAUAUAAUAUAUAUAUUUAUUUUAUACUACAGUUAAGUAUAUAGUUUGUAAUAAAUUUGUUAAAUUAAUCAGUAUGUAUGUAUUUUUUAUAUAUUUCGUAGAUUUAUUCAGAUGUUUAUUUAAUUAAUAUUAUAUAAUGAAUUUUAUUAGAAUAUAGUUUUUAUAUUAAUUAGUGGUCAUAUUAUAGAAUUACUACUGUUUGAAUUACUACUGAAUUACUUUUGAAUGUGUAUAAUAGUUAUUUUUUUAUUUUAUUUAAAUUAAGAUUUGACUACAACGUAACCUUUUUUUAUAUAAAAUUGAUUAAUUUUUAUAAGAUUUUUAGAGUAUAUACAGUAAUUGGUAGUUAUAUAAAUUAUUUAAUUUAUAGAGUAUAAUUUAUUGUAAUUCUUUUUAAUGGUAAAUUUUAUAGUAUAUAGUGGUUUUAUUCUCUAAUAGUGACUUUGUUCUCUUUACCUAUUAUAGUUAAACUAUAGCCGUAUUUUCCAUUGAUAAUAUUUAUUCAUAAUUUCAUUGAUAAAAUAUAUUCGUAGUUUUCAUUGUUAAAAGAAUUUUUCAUCUGUUUAUUCUAUUUCGGUUAAUAACGUAAUUCCACCAGUAUUCUUAUAAACGCUUAGAAGACGUUUUCCGUUUUAAAAUUUUAGUUAAUGACACGAUUUUUGAAAGCUAAGUAAACCUUUUCUAUUUAAGAUUUUUAAAGAUAUUUUAAUAAGUUUUAUUGUAUUGUAUUGUAUACUAUAUAACUACUGAUUGUUAAUUUGAUUCUAUAAUUAUUUAGUUGUUGAAGAUAUGUAUUUAAUUAUUAGAUUAUAACUGUACGUUAUUUGUAAGAUAUUACUUAGCCAACGAGAUAUAUAGAUCGUAAAAUAGCUAUACGGUUCUUUUAAGAUAGGUUAUACGUUUAUAAUUUUAUUUUUAAUCUUUAAUUUUUUUCAUGUAUUUCAUAAAUUUAAUAUUUAUGUAAAUAAUAAUGGACUAAUUAAUUAAUUUAUUUUUCAUUAUAUGGCUAUAUAUUUAUUGAUAGAGUAAAUUUUAGAUUUUAAUUACUAUAUUUGUUGAUAAUGAUUUAGUUAUUAUUUUUAAAUAUUUUAUAUUUAUUAGAUGUGAACUUAAAUCUAAAAAUAUGAAUAGUGAUUAUUUUGUUAAAUAAUUUGGUAUUUAGAUAUAGAAUAUAACUGAGUUAACGAUAUUCGUGAGUUUAUGUUUUUUAAAGCCAUAUUAUAUCUUAAUAGAUAAAUACAUGUUUCUAUAUAUUUUUUUUACCUUAAAAAUAAAUAUUUUAUAUAAUAUAUGGGUAUUAUAUAUGACAUAAUCCUAAUGUUUUAAGUUUCUAAUUUAGAUAAUAGAGUUUUUUUAUAAGAAAAAUUAUUGUUUUAUUUAUUUCUUAAAAAAUAUUGUUUAACUCUAUUUGCUUAUUUAUUUACCUAUUAUCAUUAACCUGAAGAUUGACUAUAAUUCGAAUUUUCAAUUGAAUUUAAACUUAAUGGUAAUUCGAAUUUAAUUAUAGCCAUGAAACGUACGUAGUGUUUUACUUAUUAUAUUAUAUUUAUACUUUUUUAUACUUUUUGGUUUAAAAAAAUAAUAAUUUAAGAAUUUUUACAUUUUUAAAUUUAAAAAUAUAAAAAUAUAAAAAUUUAAAUUUUAAAUUUUAUAUUCUAUAUAUAUAUUAUAUAUUAUAUUAAUUAUAUUUAUAUUUUUUGUUAUUUAUGUAUUGGUUUAUGUCUAUCACUGCUUGAGUUGCCUAAUAGUGGUUUUAUCUCUAAUUUAAUUUAUAUUUAUAUUUAUACUGUGAAAUUUGAUUUAAUCCUAAAUCUAAUUUUCCCUGUAAGUUUGGAUAUAAUCACUAAUAUCAUAUAUAUAUAUAUAUAUAAAACUGAGAAUGUGUGUCUGUCUGUGUGGAUCCCUAAAACUUGAGAACUACACAACCAAUUUCAUUUAAACUUUACACAUGACUUACUUAGGGUCCAUGUAGUGUCAUUUUUAACUUCUUGCCUAGUGCGAGCCCACAGCAAUAUCAUAUCUUCUACACUAUUUCAGUAUUACGUGUCAAAAGUGAAACAAAAGCAUCUCUAUUUUGUAAUAUCAAAUGCUUUCACUUUAAUAGUGAAACUAUUAUAUAAGUGACAUGAACUGAAAGUGAACAUCCCUCUUAUAUGUAUGUAAUAUACUUUUUUUCUGAAACUUCAGACUUUUCAAUAUGCUACACCUCUGGUUUUAAAUUGAUAUUAAUCAAAUUAAUAUUCAAAUUUUCACCCUUAUUAUUUUUAAUUUAAAUUUACACGUAUAUAUAUAUGUAUAUAUACAUAUAUAUAUACAUGUAAAUUUAUGUGUUUACGUCCCCGUAACUUAGCGGUUCGGCAAAAGAGACCGAUAGAAUAAGUACUAGGCUUACAAAGAAUAUGUCUUGGGGACGAUUUGCUUGACUAAAAGGCGGUGCUCCAGCAUGGCUACAGUCAAAUGACUGAAACAAGUAAAAGAAUAAGAGAGAAUCCCAUAAAUAAUGUUUUUUUUAAUUGCAUGAACAAAGAGUCGGAAUGGGAUAGACUACCUGUAUCAACUUGCUGUAAAAGCAGGGUGUAAUUUUACCUUGUUCUACGUCCUGCAAACUCUGCUGGAAUAAAAUCCCAUCGUAACUGUUGAGGAACUAGCAGAGAAGCUUGGGUUUGGUCAGUCAACCAUUCAUCAACAUCUGCGUGCCAUCGGAAAAGUCAGUAAAUUGGAUCAAUGGGUUCCUAGUCUAAUCGCGAGCAGAAAGUGAAUGUGUACUCGUCUUUGCUGUCACGUCUCACGUUUUUGGACGGAAUAGUGACUGGUGACAAGAAAUGGAUUCUCUAUAAAAAUAUCAAGCACCGAAGGCAGUGGGUAUGGAAAGAAGAAACACCGGCAGCCCAGGCUAGAGAGUCUUCACCCACGUAAGGUGUUGUUAUCUGUUUGGUGGGAUAUGAAACGUUUAGUCUACUUUGAACUUUUAAACCCAAACCAAACGAUAACAAAGGAGAUCUACUGCGAGCAGCUUGAGCGGCUUAAAUCAGCGCUAGAAGGAAAACGACCAUCAUUGGUUUCAAUACGAAAAGUGUUCUUCCAUCAGGAUUAUGCGCGGCCACAUACAGCGAGGAUGAUAUUCCAAAGGCUGGAGUAGUUUGAAUGGGAAACGAUGCCCCACCCACCAUAUUCGCCGAACAUUGCCCCAUCUGAUUAUCAUUUAUUCAAAAUCAUUUGGACGGAAAAAAUAUGAAUUCUGUAGACGAGGUCAGAACAGUAAUGGAGGAGUAUUUUUCGUCACAGUGAAGAGCAUUGUAGAAAAUGACGGAGAGUAUAUUUUGGAUUAAAAAAAAAAAUUUUGAAUAUCUAAAUUUUGAAGAAGUAUAAAAAUUGCAUUAUUUAUGGGAUUCUUUGAUAACCUGUGGGUUUGCGCAGAAAUUCAUGCUAUUGCUUUUUUAAAAAGUUAAUCGAUUUGAUUACACGAAAUUAUUCUUAUUAGAGAUAGCAGACACCUCUUAAAACACCAUUAACAUCAAAUUCGCAGCAUCAUCAGCAACAACCACAGAAAAAUAUCGAAAGAUCAACAAAUACAUGAGUUGAUGUUACAGCAGUAACGUCAACAAUCAUUCAAAGCUCAUUCAUUGGUAACGUAAAUAGAAACAAGUAUUUAAUGAUGCUCUAUAUUUUAGAGAUGAGGAAUUCUGUACAUUAUUUACAUUGGUCGGAUAUGUGUUCUCAUCUUGUUUGUUAUUACCACAAUGCUCCAGCUGAUUUACUCUCCAGCCUACAUCAGGUAUCCUGGUGGAAUUUUGAACCCAACCCUGAGUUCUCAUUCUUAAGGUAUUUUUUGAUGAUGCUAUUAUUAUUAUUAUUAUUAUUAUUAUUAUUAUUAUUGAGUGAGAGAGUGGGGUAAAAUAUACGAAGCCCAAUAUAGCCAUCAUGACUACCCGUUUGAUAAGGGUACACUAGGCACAUGCAUCACAACCAUAUGUGCGUGACAUGGUAAUCUCAUAUCAAGAUUAACAGCACAUGACCUUACAGGUGGGGCCCAGUUAGAAAUUUCUUCUGGUCGAGUAACCCAUCCCGCUCAAAAGGUCCCUGAAUAAGGAUUGUUUAAGAAUGUUGAACGAACCACCUAUGUUUCCAGAGGUGAAUUAUCCAAACCUCUAUGAAUUCCUUUCAACACACGGUUAUUAAUGCUCCCCCACUACUUCUGCCCGCGAUCAGAGAUGCAGAUAACGCCAGCCACUAAGGGACAUGGUCAACUGCUUAUGGUCAAACAAUUGACAAGCAAAUCCAUAGUAUUAAGCAGAAUAUUUGCUGUAGCCCAUCUUUUAUACCAAGACAAAAAAAUGUACAUGAUAACACUUCCAAUCAGUUAAGAUCAGAUGGCAUAAGAGCCACUAUCUGGUACUGCAUCAGGGCAUUUAUUAUUAUUAUUAUUAUUAUUGUUGCUGUUGUUGUUGUCGUCGUCGUCGUCAUCAUCAUCAUCAUCAUCAUCAUCAUCAUCAUCAUCAUCAUCAUCAUCAUCAUCAUCAUCAUCAUCAUCAUCAUAUCAUCAUUAUUAUUAUUAUUAUUAUUAUCAUUAUCAUUAUCAUUAUCAUUAUCAUUAUCAUUAUCAUUAUCAUCAUCAUUAUUAUUAUUAUUAUUAUUAUUAUUAUUAUUAUUAUUAUUAUUAUUAUUAAUAUUAUUAUUAUUAUAUGUUUGACUUUUGCUUUAUAUUUGUACAAGUUGGCUCUAAGUCUCACCCAGAGACCUCAAGAAACAACAGGCUGGAAGUUCAUGUUGUUGUUAUGCCUAGUAUGGCAUAUAUUUGGGGGGGGGUUUUGUGUUGUACUAGUGAAUGUCCAAAAAAACCCCCCAAAAACACGAAAAUUAUGUUUGUUUUAAACCCUGAGAUUACAUAGAAAGUAUUUUGCGUAGGAUAUGAGCAGUUCCCAUGAGCACUAUCUUUUGAAUUUCUGCCAUUUUUGGGUUUCCUGGUAUCUGAGAUAGGUAGCAAUCAGCCCCUUUCGCUAUCAUUCCCAGGGCAACUAUGACAACAGGUAUUGUUUUAGUCUUCAGCUUCCACAUUUUGCUGAUUUCUAUUUCAAGAUCUUUAUAUUUGCUCAGUUUUUGGUAGGUCUUGACAGAUACGUUUAUAUCGAUUGGGACAGUCAUAUCAAUGAGGAGGCAUGUUCUUUGUCUGAAGUCUUUCAAUAUGAUGUUUGACCUAUUUGUAUCUAUCUUUCUGUCAGUUUGAAUGGUGAAGUUCCAGAGGAGUGAGAUGUGGUCAUUUUCAAGCACUGGAGGUGGUUUGUGUUCCCACCAGUUUUUAUCAUGGGGCAAAUCCAGGUUUUUGCAAAUUACCCAGUGAAUAUAUUGUGCAGCUCUAUCAUGCCUGUUGAGAUACUCUGUAGGCGCAAGAAGACUACACUUGGAGACAACAUGAUCAAUAGUUUCAUUUUGUUGUUGACAUACACGACAUGUUGGGCUACUGCCGUUCUUUAAUAUGUUGGUCUGGUAGUUUCUUAUUGGUGGGCAUUGAUCUUGAGCUGCUAUGAUAAACCCUUCUGUUUCAGAUUUUAAGCCAGAGGCCAUGAGCCAUUGAUGGGUCAGGGCUUUGUCAACAUCUGCAUUAUUCGCUCUCUUUGGAUAUUUGCCAUAGAGAGGUUUUUCUUGCCAUUUAUCAUUCAGAAUAUCUAAAGCCGCAGUUUUAGCACGGGUUUUCAUGCGUUUAGCAUUUUCUGUGCUCGUUUUUUGUAUGUCUAAUUCCAAAAUUUGUUGUAUUCGGAAUUCACUUAGAUAUUCCUUUGCCUGUUUUGUUACUGAGUAUGAUGCUUUCUUGUUUUCAUGUUUUGGGACAAGUUUUAACAUCCAAUUCUCAGAGUUUUUCAGGUAGGUGUCGAGGCCAAUUGUAGCAAUAUUCAUUGUUAUUGCCAGUUGUAAAAGUCCACGGCCUCCCUCUUUUCUUGGCAGAUAAAGUCGUUGUGUAUCUGCCUUAGGGUGGUGCAUUCUAUGCAUUGUCAACAGUUUUCGUAUUUUUCUGUCAAGAUUACAUAUUUCAGUAAUUUACCAGUUAACGAUAUUGAAACUGUAAGUCACGACUGGUAUGGCUAAAGCAUUAAUCGCUUCGAUCCUGUUUCUCGCAUUCAGCUCUGUCUUGAGUAUUACUCUUACUCCGCGAUAACAUUCUCUCCUGAUCCUUUCCUUCAUCAUCAUCAUCGUUAUUAUUAUUAUUAUUAUUAUUAUUAUUAUUAUUAUUAUUAUUAUUAUUAUUAUUAUUUAUUCAAAAUUGUGCCAGGACACCUGAUGAAGGUUGGAGAGUAAAUCAGCCGAAACGUUGUGGUAACAACAAACACGAUGAGGAAACAUAUCCGUCCAACGUAAAUAAUGUAAAUAAGUAUUUAAUGAGAUUCAUAGAAAAAAGUACAAAAACGCAAUAAGUACAUUCCCAAGACACUGAUGAAUAGCCUGUUGUUAAGAACAUCAGAAGAGUUCAAGUGUUGUUUCAUCUUUAGGAUAAGGGCGAUAUUCUUGGUAGAGAAAGAGCGACCAUGAGCCAAAUGAAAGAGUCUAUUCUCAGUAUACGUCCGUAAAUAUGAAACUUCUUCCUAUUACUCAACAAUCCGUGUCGGAAGGGGCCACAUUACGACUAUGAACCCCACAACUAUUACCAGCAGCGGCAACAACGUUAGUAGCAUAUUUUCUAUAAUGACCGUGAGGAGAUUAGUAGCAGAAUUUACUCAUCUUCCACAGACGGAAACAACAAUAAUAGCAACAACAAUAGCAAUAGCAAAAACAACACCUCCACCAAUGCCAGUUAAAUGAUAUGAGCGCCAACAAAAUAAACAAUAACAAAUGUCACAAAAUGCUCACCAAAAAGGAAUCAAAUGUACAAAGAACAGCUUCCAGUAAAGAUCACCUGAUUCAAUCAAAGCCAUGAACUGAGAGAAGUAAGGUAGAGAUAUUGUGGGUUGGGUUCUAAUAACUUUUCCAGAAUAUAGUAGACGAAAGGAGAAAGUUCACUUACAAAUCUGUCUUCAAAAAGUUCCGAAUAGUCCAGUAUGUCACGCCAGAGCAAGCCGAACAAUGUCUCCAAGAGGGACACUGUGCUCUUAUCCUACAAGAAAGGAGAGUUGAAAAAAUCCCUACAAUCACAUAUGCAUCGGACGUGUUCAUAUUCUUCCCAAAGUAUAUGCUAAACUUGGGCGACGGACGUGUAUGGCAAAGUGGCUAACAACAGAUCCACCUUCAAUGCGAAGUGGUCAGGGAUAAUACCAGAGGUAAUACUUCCGACAACUGCAAACCUGGUAAUGACCCAUGACCUAUUUACAUCAAGAGUGGAAUGCAGAUCUCCUGCCGGGAUGUUAAGAUUGUGAAAGCAUGAACCACUCGAGGGUGUGCUUAUUGUUGCAAAAUUUGCAUGAUUUUAAAAGGAAAAUUACCGCCUGUGUAAGAAACUUCUGAGAUGGAUUGUACAAGAAUCUUUUGGGAGAAUCUUUUAUGGAACACGUCUCUGUUAAGUUCUUUAAGACAAAGGGAAGUGGCCAUACUAAAAUCCGGUGCUCUAAUACCCAUUGACUAGGGUCGACCGGGAAGCAAAGUUAUUUGCAUAACAAAAUCAGGUCCCUGGAUUUGAAUAAGGUGGUCAGAUAGAUUUCCUACAUGCAGUUACUCGCUAUUCUCCUCGAUGAUGGUAAUCCGGUUGUGUCGGAUGGAAAAGACAACUGAUCUUUAAUUACAUUAUUAGAUUAUGUUGGUCAGACUUUUUCAGGUGUCAUUCUUGGUAAAUGUACCGCCCAUUAUGGUUAGUCAGGGGAUGGAAUAACAUAAUGGACGCAGUCAAAACGAACAGGAUGCGUAUAAAGGGGACCCUGUCAUUGGAAGUCUAAUGUGUCACCUCAUACAGAAAACUAAUGGCGCUACGAUAGAACAUAAACAAAGGAAACAUCAUCAAUAAUAUUCGAUACAUAACUCGGGAUUUGUCAAUGUGUUAAAGAUUUUAGCCUAGGUGUUUGCUAAAGGAUUCGGUAAUGUGGUUGAGCUCGUACAAAAUAGCACGAUUUCAGAUAGAUCUGACCUCAUCAAUCUUCCUUAUCCUGCAAGUGGUGACUUUUCAGUAAGUCAGUAUUGAGGACAUAUAUUCAAGUUGGAAUGUUCGAAUGCCGUGUGUGCAUAUACUGAUGACAUUAAUUUCAUGGUGUCGGAUACCAGACAAACAGAAGUGGUCACUGAAGGAGUGAGAGGUGGUAACAAAGCAAGGCGGUGUGUAUGCAGCGCCUAGAGAGGCAAGUCCACACCUGCCGACGUUGCCAGUCGCAGAAUCAAUGGUUCUCUCAAAAUGGUUAGGUUCUAGUUCAGAUCAGACAAUCGUGUAUAAGAACCGAGAUGAAGUUAUGAACAGGUGGUAAAUGUCACUGAGAAUGGUUGACACCCUCCCGAAUAUAUACAGAUAGUCAAUAUCAUUUAUAGUAUGCAAUUCUUUGCCAUGGCGUCAUUUCGCGAGUUAAUUUAUAUUAGUUCAUUCAUUUAUUUCCAAAGUUGUGUAUUUUGUUAUCUCCACGAAUUUUCUAUUUCACAGUUCUCAUAUCUACGCAUUUUCUCUUCUUUUUUAUUUAUUUAUUCUACUGGAUCUUUUUCCUUUUCUUCCAACCAUAAAUUUUAAUCGGAAAACUUUUAAAAAUUGUAUUUUGAUAUAUGCUGAUGACGAAUAUCGCGUUCAUUAUUUUCGAAAAUUUUAAAUAAAGAAGUUAGAAGCAUUUCAAUUUACAUAUUUUUAAACAAUGAAUUUUAAGCCGCUGUCCCCACAACAGAAACCGAAACUGUUUCUUUUCAUGACAACUCUGCUUCAUUAAUUGCAUUUUCACUUCAUGGCUGCAUAUACUAGAGAUGUAAUAGGAGAGAAUGCCAAGAAUCUGUCUGUUAGAAGAGGCACUUGGCUGGAAGGAUGAAUCCUUCCACUUAGAAGUCAAAUUUUAUUUAUCUACUGCUGGGUCAAAGAAUUGGUGCGACUGCGGCAGUAGAUUAUAAAAAUAAAUUACGGGACGUCUGCACAGAGGAUUUCUUCGGCAAUCUAAUAAAGACUGGUGGUCGCGACAGAAUUGCUGAAAUAGACGAAAGUCUUUCCGAGUAGAAAAUACUUCUGAAGUUGGAUAAUGCUACGCAAACAGUGGGUUUUCAGCAGUGUGUGUCGCGAAAUCGAGGAUCUUUUUCUUUUCGCCGUACCUUCUGGAGAUCGCAACACACUCGGAAACUGCAUUCGUCAGUCAGUUCUGCCGGGAGCAAAUAUUUACAGUGACCUGUGACGCACAUACUUGCAUAUUCUUGAGAUACCAGAAUACCAAUUUCACCAUAGAACGAUGAACCACAACGUUGAGUUUGUAAACUUGCAAGACGGAACCCAUACUAAACAAGCAGACAGUUCUUGGACCAGUCUUCAGUGAGGGAAUGAACGGCGUUGCAGAUCAUCGUUCUACAGUGGGAACGUAUCUCUGUUUGAAAAGAUACUGGCGUGCAUAGCUCAAUUUCGUUAAAUUCAUAAUAUUCCGGUACAUUAUUUCAUUUUUGUUUUCUCUUAUUAACAGUCCAUGUAUUUUCGUUUCCAGUACAUCAACCCCAGUGCUCAACUGGUAUUGAUUCUAUCGAAAGAACGAAAGGUAGUAAUAUUACCAUGAUUUCAACGACACUCUGUUGCCAUAGCAGCAAACAGUUUCAACUUCAUUGGCUAAACAUAUAUAACUUUAAAUGCUUCUAUCUUGUUUCUUAUUCAUUUUUCGGAAAAAAUCAAUGUGGUAUUCGUUGUCAGCGUGCAAAACUACAUGUGUGGGAAAUUUGAAAACAAUCCAAUGAGAAUUGAAAACUCUUCAACUGAUUCGAAAAAACAAAAGCAGUCUAUCCUACUUUAUAGUCAUUAAUUUCAUAUACCUUUCUCUCUUAAAUUCUUAGUAUGAUUCUCCUGUAGUCACACUAUUUUCUCCGUCACGUUUUAUUUGCAUCAGAAUUAAGUGUUUUUUUUCGACAGAGUAAUAUUUUUUAGUCUUCAUUUUAGCAAAGUAUCGUCAUGUUUGGUAGAUUCCAUUUAUGUUGACAUGGCCAAAAUACCUUUCUAAGAAAGACGGGAGCAUGGAGCCAGAAAGAAAAAGGUAACAGAGGAAGAAAGGUUGUGUAUAGUUUGUUUUAAAAACAAUUGCAAUCCAAUCUCGUUAGUCACAACUAAACGUUUUUGUUUAAUUUUUAAACCUUUGACAGAAAUACACUCAAAACUUCACUUAUUUAUAUAAUUAUAUAAUCUUUGUACACACACACACACACACUAGAUACUACUUAAAUGUACGAUGAGAAGUGCGAUAAAACGAAGGCAAUUUUAUACAUAUUUAUAUUGUUUUUUUUCAAUACGGACAUUUUCACUUAUUCUUUUUUUUUCUAGUUUCCUCUCUAACCGACAAAUUUCAUUUGAAAUUCAAACCUUUUCAUGGCAUCUUUUAAAUAUUUGUCUCAUAGUUCAAAUUACAUUACCGUCCGAAAAUAGAAAAUUUAAAAUUCUGAUUACACGCGCGCGCGCGUUGUAAUAUGUAAUGGUAAGAUCCAAGGAUCAAGGUGUAGGACACUAGCAAGCUUUGAGCAGUCAUUGAAGGUAUAAAUAGCAACUUUUAGGAACAAUAGUGGUUUAUUGACGUAGAAAGUUGUAAAUUUUUCCCAUAUUAAAGUUCGAUGAGCUGAAAAAGUUAACUUAUAGUUCAUGGUUAGCAGCUGGGAUCGUUGUGUAUGCGAUUAAACUCCAAAAUUAGGGGAUGAAGUAGAUAAAAUCCAGGCUACAUGUGUUUUAUAGCUAGCAGAACCUCGAAAGUAGUAAUUACCCAAACGAGGACAAUCCGCUCGCUACUCAUCGGGCCAAAGACACUUUAAUCAAAUGAUGUCUACAUUGUUGUCAAGGGAUCCCAUGUUAAUUCACAGAAGAUUUGAACGUUUGGAAUUUUACAUGUGUGUGUGUGUGUAUGUGUGUGUGUGUGUGUGUGUGUGUGUGUUUGAUCGAUCAAAUCUCCUUUGAGUUAACAUGGGAUCCCUUGACGACAAUUUAAACUUCAUCUGAUUAAGGUACCUUUGGCCCGACGAGUAGCGAGCGGAUUACCCCUCGUUUGGGUAAUUACUACUUCCAGGGAUCUACUAGCUAUGAAAUAUUUAGCCUGGAUUUUAUCUACUCCAUUCCAUAAUUAUGAUUUUUUUCAUUUAUGCAUGUAUGUGUGUGUGUGUGUGUGUGUGUGGACACGUAGGACGCCAGAACUGGCCAGGUACCAUACCAUAGCGUCCAAAUUGAAGUAAAACGAUCAUGAGGCAUCAUGUGUUGGUAGUUUACUGCAUGUAGGAACCAAAUCCAAUUUAACCGUAGAUACGACUCAGCAAGAUUAUCCCCAAAAAUUUCAAAUUCUGAUGUAGUUUUGUAUGCUAAUUAUGAAAAUGAAAUGUGUUUGCUCCGUAAAUUGAUAAAUAAAAAUAGCUUUUUAAAAUUUGCAAAUUUUGGGUAAUAUUAGCCACUCAAAAGCCAUAAAAAUAUUUCGGUUGCUCUUCGGUCACUACCUAAUUUUAAUAAUUUUAAACUGUGUAUUUUGUUGGAUGUUUUCAACCUAAAAAAAGUAUGAUCACAGCCAACUCAUUUAACCUUUCGAGUAUGAUAGAGAAAUUGAAAACAUAGGAGGAUGUGGUUCCUUUCUUGCAAGAGAAAGGUGUUAUUCCUGACAGAAAAUUAUGUUCAAAGAGACAUUAUAUAAGAAGAAGCUUUAUGGGAAAAUUUACUGGCGGUGCUCCCGAAGAAGUUGAAACGAGUGUGUGUCUGUCAGAAAAGAUACAUAGUUGGAAGGUGGCACUCUUACUCUUAGGACUAUACUGUCUUUCCUUUACUCAUACGUCAAGGAAUUAACUUCAGUCCGGUUUAUGCUUGACUCGUAUUGCGAGUUUAUGUGGCGCAGGAAAUACGAAAAUUGUAAUUUGGUUGAGAAACUCCAAGAGUGCAUCUCAAACUUUCGGUUUUGAAUUUUCGCUACAAAAAUAAUGUAUUAAUUGUUUAUAUGAACUGAGCUACAGUGGUAUAACGAACAAUUUUUUGUUUCUUUUUGUAAUUUAACGAACAGUUCGUAUUUUUGUAAGUUUUCGCCAAAAAGACUUCAUUGAGGAUUUUUCCUUUUUAUUCUGCCUAUUCUAAUGUUCCACAUGACUAGUCACUUUAAACUUAUUAAACCUCAAAACUUCUUCCAACUUUCGUUGUCGGAAUUUAUUUAAUAAAAUCUUGUCGUUGUAAUGUUGUGCUAGACAGCAAUCACGCAGAAAAUACCAGCUUCCAAAUCUUGUUUUCUGAUUGGGUAUAAAUGAUCAAACUUUAAACCGCUGAAACAUUUUUCUAAAAUUUUUCUGAAACAUUUGAAUAACAAAAUCAGAUUCAACGGGGAAAAUUACAUCAAUAUACCAUACUUGAAAAUUUUCACCUAAUUUUGAAAUUUCAAAACUGUGACGGCAACAAAAAAAAUUCAGUAUUUCACACAUAGAAGAAUAUGUGGAUUCUUUAUACCUAUUUUUCUGUCAGAAGGAAAUAGUGAAGUUGAGAUUUAAAACUAUUCUAAAAUCUUGAUUUUAUUCAGUCUUUAAAUAUUUCGGUAUCAGAGAUGAGUGUCUUGAAAUCAGAAUUUCACUUUAUGAUAGCGUUUCCGUAUUUGCAUAAAAUUAAGUUAUUUUUACAAGACACAUACUAUAGAAUGUAUCUAUUGUUAGCCUGAAACGAGAACCAGUUACACAUUGCAUAAAAAUAAUUGUUCACAUAUAUAUGUAUCGUUUUAAAUGAUGAAACAUAACGGGUGAUUUUCUUCUACUGAUUGAAUGUCCCUGGCGGGUAUGUAGACAGCCUUGAAAAGCCGUGCCAAUAACUUUAAAGGUGAUACACAUUUAUCUAUAUACCUAGUAAAAUGCAUUUUCCAAAUCUUAAAUAUGUUUGAAUUACAAUGUAACUUGUACAGGCUGAAACCUUCAAGAUACUUAGACUAGUUGAAAAUAGAUUUAAAACAUUUAAAUCUAUCAAAGUUUUUGGUUUCAUUCUACAUUGAAAUUUAGAUCUUAUAUUGAAAUGUGCUGUUAGUUCUUGCGUAAGAGAAAAUUCUGAUUCUGCAUCAAACUGUCAAUUUUAUAAUAAAUAACUCAUAUUUUCUCUCAUCGAAGAAACUCAAUUUAAACCAUUUAUGUAGCUUUGCUAUUUCUUAUUCUGGAGUUGAGAAUGUAUUGAACGUUUUCUUACAAAAAAUUUAAUUGUAUCAAAUCAGAUUAGAAACUUUUCUAAAAUUGGUGAUAAAUUAGUCUCUAGAUGGUGAGAUAGUCUGAAAUGGCAUUAUGAGAGCUUCCUUAAAACCGUCUACAAAUCAAAGCAAAUUGAGCGACAAGAAAAUUUACAAUUUACAUAAUUUUGUUCAGUUCAUUACGAAAUUAUGAAAUCGAUUUUUCUUUGACAUUUUGACAGUUAAACUGUAAAUUCUAUUACAGAAAAAAAAAAACUUUGUGAAACCAUAUAAUUUUAUUGCAGAAAAUGAACAAAAAGAGUAAAUACUGUCAUACACACAUACAUACAUACAUACAUACACACACACACAUACACACACACACACACACACAAACACACACACACACAUAUAUCAAAGACAUAAGAACUAUGAGGAUAGAAAAAUAGCAAACUAGAAUAAUUUGAAUUUGAUAAGUAUUUCUCCGGCAUUUUUGAAAUUUCUUGAUAUUAUUGAAGACUAAUUUAUAAUUUAUAUUUUCAAGGGAUAAUUUCAAAAGAAUAUAUUCAUGUGCGUCCCAUGAUGAAGACUAGGGAGUCUGCAUGCACAGUGGAGUGUGCAAAGUGUUCCAAGACCAGACUGAGACGUAGCGCAUCUGUGUGGUUCACUUCGAAGUCAUGCGUUUACAAAUUCCUUCUUAAUGUGCGUAACCUUGGAGAAGUGUUUUCUAGCAUCACCUCGGAUCUUACCAAUACUUCGGGCGUAAUUUGGUUGACGAAAACUGUGAAGACUAUAAAUACAAUGUUAUGCCAAUGAAGUGAAAUUGUGGUUGAAAGACAUGUCCACAACUGUCCUUAAACAUAGUUGAUUCAACGUGAAACUACUAGAUCUUCCCAAUUCGCGAGCGAAAUUUUAAUAAACUAGAUAUUUAUCACGUAUGGCAUUCAGUUUAGCUACUGUCAACUUUAUCACACACACACUUCAUAAUUUCUGUUCGAUUUCUCAUGUUACAAUACUUCGAGCGUACAUUAGAAACCAUUGUAAACGUAUCACAUUCAUUGAGCAGAGACUGGUUUCUGGUGGAUCCCCAUAAUAUACCGGUUUCCGUAGAUACAUUUGUAUUAAACUGCUGUAAGAAAUUCUUUGAUUUACGUAUGCAAAUGGGUUAUGAGCACAUUAUGGUAUAUAAUGCUCAUAAACACAAAAAUUCUCCGGGCACUACUUUUUGAGUUCGGACCAAUACGACCGUACCUCGUCAUCACAAGUUUACUUUUAUUCUUCUGUAUCGUUUGAUAAAAACUUUUAAAUGUCUAUUUACCAUUAUUAUAAGUUCCAUCCAUUACAUUUGCUUAUAUGAGACAUCCAGCAAGAGCUUUCAAGUAAUCAUGUUUUACUUUUCAAAUUUCUCCCCAACUGACUAACUCCUAACUAUAGUGCACACGCUCUUUUCUUCCUCAUCUCUUAGAAUAAAUAUCAUUCCUAUUAAUAUCUUCUGUCACACCACUAGUUCAGUCUCACUAAAUAUUUAAUAAAAUCAUUGUUUUUUUGCUUGUUACAUGGUUUGACGCUCAUUUUAUCAAGUAUCGAUUACAUAGAGGUUCGGAAGUAAAAUUUUCUAAUGCUUAUUUUAAUUGUUCAGAAGGUUUUCUUUAUAUAUUUGCAUAUAACAUAUACAUAUGUCAGUGCGCGAAUGUCUGUUGAUGAUAUUUGCAUAAAUAUAGUUUUGCGCUCUACACACAUUUUAUCCACCAUUAACAAAAUAAUGGUUAUCACCUUUAUCGGUAGCUCCCCAACAGUCUUGAAGGCGUUACCUUUAACAACAACGAGGAGCUGAAAACAUGGCUCAAUGAAUUCUUCGAAUCAAGACCCGAGGGUUUUAUACUUUCAAGCAUUCACAAGUUUCUGGAACGUUAGCAAGGAGUCGUGAACAAUGAAGGAGAAAAUACUUUUGAGUGAUUUGUUCAAAUUAUUGAUGAAAAGUAAAGAUUGAAAUAGCUGGAAGAACACAAACGAAUUUAUCUGACAGCCCAAUAUACACAUGUGGGUCUGUUUGCGUCCCUGUAAUCCAGCACCCUUGAAAAAAUGGCAGGCACUGAUGAAAUAAGCACCACAUUUAAUAAAUGUACAGGGAUCGAGAUUAUCGACUAAACCCUUCAAGAUGGUUACCUGUAUGCUCAUGGUGAGAAAAUAAAAUAAUAAAAUGAAAAAUUCACAUACACAUACAUACAUUCGUACAUACACAAUACACAGGCACACUUAUGCACAUAUAUAAACAUAUAUAUGUCUGUGGUUGUUGCGCAUAUAUGCAGCAGUACUCAUUAUAAAAUAUUAUUUUAUUCUCUUUGCUGAAACGGCCGUAAGCAAACGAAUAUAAUUAUAUAAAUGAUAUUCUUUUGUGAUUCAUUAUUGUGUGUGUGUUUGUGUGUGUGCGUGCAUGCGUGGGUGUAAAUAUAUGCAUAUAUGUGUAUAAAUAGAUAUAUAUGUAUGUGAAUAUAUAUAUAUAAAUUAAAUAACGUUUAAUAUUACCCACACUCUAAUAUAAUAUUAACAUUGCUAAUAUAUUUUCAGAUACUCUAUCUCCUGAUUAGCCUUAAGAUUAAAUAACGUUUUUAUCCACACUCUAAUAUAAUAUUAAUAUUGCUAAUAUAUUUUCAGAUACUCUAUCUUCUAAUUAGCCUUAAGAUUAAAUUAAAUAACGUUUAAUAUUAAUAACGUCUAAUUAGCCUUAAGAUUAAAUUAAAUAACGGUUAAUAUUGCUUAAUAUUGUAUAUAUAAUUUUUCAGAUACUCUGUCUUCUAAUUAGCCUUAAGAUUAAAUUAAAUAACGUUUAAUAUUACCCACACUCUAAUAUAAUAUUAAUAUUGCUAAUAUAUUUUCAGAUACUCUAUCUCCUGAUUAGCCUUAAGAUUAAAUAACGUUUUUAUCCACACUCUAAUAUAAUAUUAAUAUUGCUAAUAUAUUUUCAGAUACUCUAUCUUCUAAUUAGCCUUAAGAUUAAAUUAAAUAACGUUUAAUAUUAAUAACGUCUAAUUAGCCUUAAGAUUAAAUUAAAUAAUGGUUAAUAUUGCUUAAUAUUGUAUAUAUAAUUUUUCAGAUACUCUGUCUUCUAAUUAGCCUUAAGAUUAAAUUAAAUAACGUUUAAUAUUACCCACACUCUAAUAUAAUAUUAAUAUUGCUAAUAUAUUUUCAGAUACUCUAUCUCCAAAUUAGCCUUAAGAUUAAAUAACGUUUUUUACCCACACUCUAAUAUAAUAUUAAUAUUGCUAAUAUAUUUUCAGAUACUCUAUCUCCUAAUUAGCCUUAAGAUUAAAUAACGUUUUUACCCAAAUAACGUUUUUACACAAACUUUAAUAUUGUUAAUAUUUCUUUUUCAAGUACUCUAUCUUCUAAUUAGCCUUAAUAUCUUCCUGUCUUCUCUCGAACAUAAUUAGAUAGAUAAACGGAUAGACGGAUUAUCCAGCAUGUCCAGAGCAUGGAGACAUGACGAGCUGGAUUUAUUCGUACGAGCAUGGGAGUGCGCCGGCGGAGAUAGCCCUAGCGAGGUGAUUGCGGCUGCGCUGAAGAGCAGAGGCUACAAGAGGACAGCGGCUCAGAUGGAGCGAAAGAGACAGGAAUUCGUGCGCUCAUAUGCGCUUGUACGGUCGCACAUUGGCGCACUUGAUGCCAUCUUUGAGAACGAGCGGGGCAAAGAUGGCAAGAAUGGAGACGAUGAAAGAAGUCACCCCCACCUGGUGGACGCCCAGGAGGAGGUUUUGAAUGAGAAACCUGCCCGGGAAGUGAACCCAGGUGCAAGUUCUCCAACCGGCAGCAAGGGCCAUGGAGACGGAGAACCCAGUGAAGAGGUAGAGGGAGGAAGAAGAACUAAAAGAAGGACUGGAAGAGCUAAAGGAAAAGAAAAAGCUCAAGCAGGACCAAAGAGUGAAACAACCAGGAAUAGAAGUGGAACCGCAAAGGAUGGAACCAAACAGCGCACACGGGUGUGUAUGUUCUACCUGAGAGGUUCCUGCUGGCACGGAAAGGAAGGUGCAGGCUGCCGCUUUGCACAUCGGGGACCCUGCCACAGAGACACGAGGCAGAUGGACAAACCAUCAACACAAAGAAAAGGGAUGGACUACGCACCACCUGCCCCAAAGCGGAGGUACGCAGAUGUUGUGCGCGCCACAAACAGCCAACAUGAUGUUGUCGAAAGAGCAGCUGCUGAGCAACAAUCUUUUUUGUGCAUGGCACAAAAGAUUGUACAGCAGCUGACCUGGCUUCAUCAAACCCAAGCCCGCAGGUGGGACUACCCACUAUAUACCAGACCACCACAGCAAACAGACACAGGAUGACACCGCCGGCAACAACGUACACCUCACCUCGAUACUCCUACUGAACAUCAGAGGACUGCAAACACUCAGUAACAGGACAAAGAUCCCGUUCCUGAGAGACUUUGUUGCAUGCAAUCAAGCCUUAUGCAUAGCACUUACAGAAACGCACCUGAAACCGGACAUAGCAGAUGCGGAGUUACACAUACCACAGUAUGCUGUACUACGGACCGACAGGAAAGAAAGGAGUCAUGGAGGUGUUGCUAUGUACAUCCGUGAGGACCUCACACCCCAGGUCCUCUUGUCAUACUCAAACUCGGUGUGUGACACACUAAUUGUACAUAUUAGGCAACUUGAUGUAGUUGUGUGUGCUACAUAUCGCCCUCCAGAUGCCCCAAGCCAUGUGGGCAAGUUUGAAGACUGCCUUAUAAAAAUAGAAGAAAUUCUAACCACAUUAGAACAACACAUAGGUGUGCUUCUUAUGGGAGACUUCAAUCUGCCCAAUGUCAGAUGGCCCGAGGGCCUUUCUCUCCCAGGAAUGACAAGAUGUGAACGAGGACAGGCGAGGUCCCUCCUGAACCUCAUCAACACCCUGUACAUGGAGCAGGUAAUACUCCAACCAACCAGGGCAGGUAACACACUGGAUCUCUGCUUCACAAAUAAUAUGGAUCUCAUCCAUAAUGUGAAAGUGACACCGACACUACUCUCGGAUCACAACAUGAUAGAGCUGACCAUGUACGGGCCAAAAGAGAGCACGGACAUGCAGCCUACAAGAAACCCUCAAAAUCUUUCCAGCUUGAACUACCAUAAGGCAAACUGGAAACAAAUUGAGAAAGAGAUCCUCAAACAAAACUGGCCUAAAUGUCUCUCCUCGCCAGACAUCGACGGGAAACUUCAACAAUUCAUGUCUGUAAUGCAAGCCAUAUGCUACAAAUGUGUCCCAGAGAGAAAGGCCACUGUACACAAGAACAAAAUCCCCAGAGAGAGGAAAAUUCUAAUGAGACGGCGUACGAAAUUUUCAAAUCGCCUAAACAAACAGAUUGAAAGCAGUGAAAAGUCCCGCCUAAAAAUAAAACUGUUGGAAAUCAAAAAAUGUCUGCAACUCUCCCAUGAAAAAGAAAGAGCAGACAAAGAAGCCUGGGCUAUAGAAAACAUAAAAUCUAACCCCAGAGCUUUCUACAGGUAUGCCAAAGAAACAGCUACAGUGCACUGUAGAAUAGGGCCACUCCUCGAAAAGGAUGGCACACUUACAGGAAAACCAAUGAGGGUAAGUGAAAUACUGAAUGAGCAAUUCAAGAGUGUUUUCACUCCACCCCUUGGGCAUCUCCAAAUCACCAAUCCAACUGACUUUUUUACCACUGCAGAUAUAAAAUCAGAGGCGGCGACGAUAGAUUACAUCGAUAUAAAGGAAGACGAUGUAACCAAGGCUAUAGAUGAAAUGAAAACAGACUCAGCUACUGGCCCCGAUGGAUUCCCGGCAAUCCUCCUAAAAGCAUGUAAGAGAGUCCUAGCAAGACCACUGCAGUUCCUCUUUCAGAGCUUCCUUGCAGCUGGCAAACUUCCAGGAAAACUGAAGGAAGGUAAAAUAUGCCCCAUUCAUAAAGGAGGUAGCAGAGCGGAGGCCAAGAACUAUAGACCUAUCUCUCUGACCUCACACAUCAGCAAGGUCAUGGAACGAAUAGUCAGAAGGAAGCUGAUCACCUUCCUUGAAGAGAAUGACUUGCUGCCCGACACCCAACAUGGUUUCCGACCAGGGAGAAGCUGUUUAACUCAGCUCCUACAACACUAUGACUGGGUGCUGAAACGGCUGCUCAACCACUCAAAUGUGGAAGUGAUAUAUCUCGACUUUGCAAAGGCCUUUGAUAAAGUCGAUCAUGGAAUGAUAUGUCACAAACUGCGUGAUCUCAACAUAGUUGGAAAACUGGGAGAAUGGCUUCAUGACUUUCUGAAGGAUAGAAGUCAGGUGGUAGUAGCCAAUGGGGCCACCUCCAUUAACACACAAAUAGUGAGCGGUGUUCCGCAGGGCACUGUUCUGGGACCACUACUGUUCAUAAUGGCCCUCUCAGACAUGCCCUCAGCCACGCAGAGAGCCACGAUCACAAGUUAUGCAGAUGAUACAAAAGUUUCACAGGCAAUACAGAACCCUGAGGACACUAAACACCUGCAAUGUGAGCUGGACGAAAUAUACAAGUGGGCUGAAAAGAAUAGCAUGCAGUUCAAUGCUGGAAAGUUUCAAGCUUUAUACUAUCAGCAUGCAAAACUGAAUGCAAUACCCAAUGAAUACACUGGACCCGGAGGGAUUGCAAUCCCAGAGGCACAAUCAGUGCAUGACCUGGGUAUUCACAUGAGUGAUGACGCGACCUUUCAUGUACAUGUUGCUAAACUGACAAUGAAAUGUAGACGGCUGGCUGGAUGGAUUCUUAGAACCUUUAGAACAAGAGAACAAGAAACCAUGAUGGUCCUCUGGAAGACACUUGUCCUAAGCCACUUUGACUAUUGCUCUCAGCUAUGGUCACCAUCCAGUGUCAAGUUGAUCACAGAACUUGCGGCGAUCCAACGAAGCUACACAAAGAAGAUAGCCUCUAUGCAGAAUGUAAGCUACUGGGAAAGACUCAAGAGAUUAAAAUUAUAUUCCCUGGAGCGUAGGCGGGAAAGAUAUGCCAUAAUAUACAUCUGGAAGAUCCUGGAGGGAAGUGUCCUGAACUUUGGCAUCGAGAGUUACGCAAAUGCCAGAACUGGGCGCCACUGCGUGGUGCCUAGGACUCCAAACCUGCCAUCAAGAUGUAGGACAAGAUUCUGUGAUAGCCUGGGCUUCCGAGGCCCACAGCUCUUCAAUAUCCUCCCGAAGAACCUGAGAGACCUGCAUGGGGUGGAUACAGAUGUCUUUAAAAUGAAGCUGGAUCUCUUCCUGUCAGGUGUCCCAGAUGAACCAACUUCACGGCAGGAGGGGCAGAUGAGGGCAGCUGCAUCGAACUCUCUCAUGCACCAAAUAGCAGUUGCUAGAAAGCCUCCAUGAAGUGAAACCAAGUAGCAACACCAAAUGGCGGUCCCCCUGCAUGGCCACAGCUCAUAAGCUGAAACUAGAAUCAAUCAAUCAAUCAAUCAAUCAUAUAUAUAUAUAUAUAUAUAUAUAUAUAUAUAUAUAUAUAUAUGUUUCAAAUUUUGGCACUAGCCCAGAGAUUUUAGGAGAAGGCCUGUCCACCUAGCCAAUGGAGUGGCAUCAUUCAAACAUACAACGCCUGAAAAAAGUGCAUUGUGUCUGGUGGGGUAUAACAACAUCCCGUAAUGUUGUUUAUAACACAAAGACACAUACGCAUGCAUGCGCUCACAAACACACAUACACACUAAGUGAAACUAAGUUGUGAAUACCCUUAGAAUUAACUUUUAGGGCCAUAAGGAUAAUUUUGGUGACAGUCCCACUGCCAGACUCAUCUGGCUCUUGAAGUAUGACAUAAGGCGUUAAGUAAAAAAUUCUUGUUAAUGCUCUUAAGGAAGCGAGCGGGCAGAAUCGUAAGCAUGUCAGGUAAAAUACUUAGCGGCAUUUUGUCUGUCGUUACGUUCUGAGUUCAAAUUCUGUCGAGUUCGACUUUACCCUUCAUCCUCUCGGGGUCGAUAAAAUAAAUACCAGUUGAGCACUGGGAUUGAUCUAAUCGGUUUACACCCUUCUCCGAAGUUGCUGGCCUCGUGCCAAUAUUUAAAACCAAUAUUAUUCCUACUCUUUUUUCUCAAAUCUAGAUUCCACUUCUGGAUAAAUACUAUCAAAGUGAUAAAGCGGUUCAUGGUUCAGGAUAAACAUAAUUAUAACUUCCAACAAGUUGAUACACAUUGUUAUUAUUUCUCCUAUACUGUUAAAUAAAUCUUUAAUCUUCGCCAUGAAGAACUCAGCUUCAUCUGAAGUAGACAUUAUUCUAGAGCUUACGAUCGUGAGAUUGAGUUCGAAUCCCGGACCGGGCUGCGUGUUGUGUUCUUGAGCAAAACACUUUAUUUCACGUUGCUCAAGUUCACUCAGCUGCAGAAAUGAUUUGCGACGUCACAGGUGCCAAGCUGUAUCGGCCGUUGCCUUUCCCUUGGAUAACAUUGGUGGUGUGGAGAGGGGAGGCCGGUAUGCAUGGGUGACUGCUGGUCUUCCAUAAACAAAUUUGCCGAGACUUGUGCUUGGGAGGGUAACUUUCUAGGUGCAAUCCCACGGUCAGUCAUGACUGAAGGGGGUCUCAGCAAUUGAAUUUGAUGGUUAGGUUUGGGCUAGGAUAAAAUAGGGUAAACAACUUCGACAUUACUUCGGGAGCCAGUGACUCAGCACAAGUAAACGAUGCGGUGGGAGUGUAUAUCGUGCAUUGUCUAUAAGACGAUUUACCAAAUUUUUCGGGUGGUCUUGAUAGAAAUGAUGCACUUUUCUCAAUUUGCAACUCAAGUAAGGUAGAAAUAGAAAGAACGAGGAAGAAAUUAAGAUUUUUUAAAACUUUGGUAUAGAGAUCCCUGUAGAGAACAACCUUAAAAUAGCUAAGUGUUUUGAUGUUACUUUAGAAUUAAAUACGCGUCUAUCUUUCAAUCCAUUUCAUAAACCCGAUGAAAAUUUGAAUUACGUUAGCAGAACUUAUUGUGGAAAACGUAAUUUAUCGUGUAAUCAAAGGUGUUUCUAAUAAAAUUAUCUGACAAGGAAAUUUUUUAACACCAUGCUCAUUACUAUAACGAGGCUCUAAGCAGACCCGAAUUUAAAGAAAAGAUUAUAUUUGUUGCAGACUUGAAUAUCUUAUCUACUACAUGAUAACAGACGAUUGAAGAUAAUUCACCAUCUCGAUAAAAAUCCGAAUAACAUGAAGGAUACGGUUCUACAUCCAAUUCUAAUACUAAUCGUAUACACGCGACAUUCCAAUCUUCCCUCUCCUUCCCCACACAACAGUCAUUCCUCAAGUGCUCUGCAUGUUAUUUUCAGAAAUGGCUCUGACGAAAGUAGCAUUAAUUUUCUCAAGUCAUUUGCGAUGUCACAAGUGCCAAGCUGUAUCGGUUGGUCAAUAGACCAAUAUGUGUGUGUGUGUGUGUGUGUGUGUGUGUGUGUGUGUGUGUGCGUGUGUGCGUGUAUAUGUGUGUGUGUGCAUGUGUACAGUAAUAAAUGACGAGAGAAAUAGUAUGAUGAAAUUUAUUUAAUUAUAAGAAAAUUCAAAUAUAUGUGUAUAUAUGUGUGCCUAAAUGUAUAUAUAUAUGUACGUCUGUAUCCAUGAAAAGAGGAGGUGGGUAGGAGCGAAGAGAAAAAGUGUCAGAUGAAGAGAGGACGGGAGUCAGAUGAGGAGAGGAGGGGAGAGUCAGAUGAAGAGAGGAGGGGAGUUGAGUCUAUGUGGCACAAAGGACCGAAGAGUGAAGAUUAAUUCCAGUUCACGGUGAAGGCGGGUGUCCGGAUGACCCCUGUGCAAAGACAGUCCGAACACAGACAGAUGUUGCAGUGAAUGACCGCGAGACCGGGGUAUAAUUGCCGAGUCGGAUGUAACGGAGGUGCUCCGCGAACCGCUCAGCCAAGCGGCGUCUCAUUUGGCCGAUGUACAGGGAAGGGCAGAAAGAGCAGGAGAUGCAGUAAAUGACGUUACUGAAAGUGCAGAUAAAUGAAGUCAGUGAUGUGAUAGGGACGAUGAUGGGUGCCUGUGAGGCUGUGGUGUUGGAGGGGUAGGGGCAAUAACAGCUGCGUGGGCAGGAGCGGAGAACGAGCCAGGUUGGGAGGUGGGGCUAGGGAAGAAAUUGUGGGCAUAUAUAUAUAUAUGUUGGUUUAACUAUAUAUAUCUGUAUCUGUAUGUAUAUGUAUAUAUAUGGGUAUAUAUAUGUCUAUAUAUAUAUAUAUAUAUAUAUAUAUAUAUAUAUAUAUUAUAAUAAUAUAUAUAUAAAAGGCAGUUUGUCUGUCUGUGUGUCUGUCAGGUUGUACCCUCACCCUGACCACGGCUUUCAACAGAUUCUGAUGAAACUUGACACACACAUAGCCCAAUGUCAUAAUUCAAAACUAACGCAGCGAAAAGUUUCCCCAGUUCUGAAAAAAAUUGAUAAAUUCGACAUGGGGUCGAGAAUCUAAGCUUAUCAUAUGCAACACAUUUUCCGUUGUAGUUUUCGCAACUUACAAUCGAUUUUCACCAAACCCAUGAUGAAGCUUAAUAUUACUCUAAGGAACUUAAUUCUGACGUUAGUUUUCCAUGCAAUACCUUACCAGCAGAAAAAAAUCGAUAAAAUCAUGCCAUUUUGGGAAAUCGCGUUCAAAUUCAAGAUGACAUAUUUUCGACAAUAUCUUUAACAAAUUGGCAGGAAUUUUUUGGAAAUUCACAGCGAGCAUCAUAUCUGCUCCGAGGAGCUAUAUGGCCCUUUUGAUUCCAAUAGGAUACGUUAUUACUGGAAAAAAUCGGUUAAUUACAUAUGUGGCACACAUAGCAAACCGAUUUUUCUGCGAUAUUUUUUGAAAGUUCACAUAGAUUUUCCCUACACCGAUGUUGGACAUCAAGUUUGCAUUAAAUGUCAAACUAACGACCUUUUGUCAAUGCAGUCAAUUGGGAGAAAUCGACAAAACCAUAUCUCUUUGAGACCAACAAAACUGACUUUUGUUAAAUAGUUGGCGGAUUUCAGGCGAUUUAGUCGAUUUUUGCCGCUUUUAUCAUAAAGGUUACUAGAAAUGGUAUAUUUUUUCCUUUUGCUUCAAAUCCGAACAAUGUUGGGCUGUAGAUGCGUUUGUGGUUGUGUGCGCACGUGCCCGCGUGUCCUUGACACGAUGAUUGCAGCUCUUCCCAUUGGCUCCCCAAACGGUGAACAAUGCUCUCAAUUAAACACCCUUUGGCCAAUCACAUGCACUGACACACUCAGUUGUGCACGUAUAGUUUGUGACUCCCACUUCUUCUCUCGGUUCACACCCGCUCGCUUCACACGUUGGCCUACUUCUGCUAAUCGCUGCUGCAGCCGCAAGUUAUUCGAAUACUUUUUUGUUUAAACUUUCUUUAUAACUACCACCCCAAACGUUUUACCUUAAAUUUUUGACGUACCCAAAGGGUCCUCGGAUGCUACUUUCAAACUCUUGGUUUAUUAUAAGCCGCUUUUGUCGUGUGCACCAAAAAACCUUUUCCAUUCGUUUGUUCAGUUUAGUUACUUUUCGCUUUUUCGUUGUUGUCACUCACAUUGCUGCCCGCUUUUUUUCCGCUUUUGUACAUUUUGGGAUACUUACCCCACGUGUUCCUUUUUAUUACACCUUUGCCAAAUACAUUGCUAUCCACCAAAAUGCCACCCAAGAAGAGAAGGACCCUCCUCAGCCCUCGGACGGCCAAGGCAUCGGCUGCUAGAGCUAGAAGGGCACGCGAGACUCACGAGGACACCGCCUUGCGCCUCUCGCAAAACGCUUCCCGUUCUGCCGCUGCUCAGGCAUCUGAAACUACUAGCGACCGUUCUACCCGACUUGCAAAGCCACAGCGUACAGAUCUUCCCUCCGCUCGAGGUUGAAGUAAGAGCAACAGUCCAGCCAAAACAUGCGGGCUUCUUUUUGUGCUUCCAUCCGCAGAGCUCGCGAGAACCCCGAACAAACGGCCAUUCGGAAUGCGGCUAACGCCGCUAGCACCGCCAGGACACGAUCUGUCGAAAACUCACAGCAGAGGAGAACUCGCCAAGCUGCUGACGCCGCAAACACAGCCAUGGCUCAAUCUGCCGAAACACCUCAACAGAAGAGAGCUCGCCAAGCUGCUGACGCCGCAAACACAGCCACGGCUCGAUCUGCCGAAACACCUCAACAGAAGAGAGCUCGCCAAGCUGCUGACGCCGCAAACACAGCUACGACUCGAUCUGCCGAAACACCUCAACACCAAACGCUACAAGUCGCUGGGUUACAUUUGGGCGAACAGUGCUUCGCCCACGGUCAACUCUACGUGGGCUGUUCACACGUUGGGAGGCGCAAUGAUGUUUUCAUGCUUUCGCCCAAAGGGACAGCUAGGAACGUCGUAUACACAGAAGUAUUGGAGUGAAGAGAAGACGUUGCAACCUACACAUGCGCCUUCGUUCCCUAGAGGGAAAGGACUAAAUCGGAAUUAGUCGUUGCCUACUAGAGGCUCCCGAGCCUCCUUUCGCUAGAUUUAAAUUAGGAUUAGGUAGGGCUUAGCUGUGGUCCGAACCCAACUUGAGUUCGGGGGGGGGGCAAAAGGGCCGGCAUGUGCAACCUUAUCACCUCUGCCUGUCAAACUCCCAACCCAUGCGUUCCCGUCGCGACACUGAUCCCGCAGAACUGGGUUGGGUGUGCAAAUCAAAACCAGAAAAUGCACUUUGACUGUCAUAGAUUUUCUUCAUGCAUGCAAGGGAACGGUGCUUUGAAUGCCUUAAUGCCUUUUAGGCUUCAUUUUACAAAAUAACGGUUCAAUGAGUACAAAAAAGGGUAAAAAGGUAAAGAGCAUUGCUUAUCGACAAAGUUUCUUAUAUACCCGGGCAACGCCGGGCUAUGCUGCUAGUAUAUAUAUAUAUAUAUAUAUAUAUAUAGUUAAUCCAAACAAGAAAACACAGAAAAAAUGAGAAAAAAACACAGCAACGCAGGACGUGGAACAAUUAAAGUAUUAUUGACGCUCAGGAAAGAAGGGAAGGAGGGUUAAACGUUUCGAGCGGAGCUCUUCGUCGGAAACAAGGAGAAGGAAAGAUCCCAAGGAGGGAAGACAGAAGAAAAAAUAUUUGAGCUGGUAGUGCUCAAGAGAUCACAUGUUAAUAUUAUAUUAUAUUACAUUAUAUUAGAGAUAAAACCACUAUUAGGCAAAUCAAACAGUGAAAAUCAUAAGCCAAUACAUAGAAAAAAAUUAAUUAAAAAAAUAUAUAAAACAUACAUAUAAAAAAUAUAAAAUAUAAAAUUCCAAAUUAAAAUAUUUAAAUUAAAGUUAAAAUUAUUUAAAUAAUUUAAACUUAUAAAUUUUAUAUAUAUAUAUAUAUAUUAUUAUUUUAUUAUUUUAUUAUUUUAUUUUAUUUUAUUUAUUUAUUUUUUAUUUAUUUUUUUUGUAAAUUAUAUAACUAUCAAAAAGUAUUAAAAGUUUAAUAUAAGAUAAAUAGUAAAAACACUACGAUCGUUUCAUGCCCGUAACCAAUUCGAAUAACAAUAAUUUAAAUUCAAUUAAUAAUUCGAAUUAUGGUUACAGUCAAUCUUCAGGUUAAUUGUAAUAUUUUAAUAAGUAAACAGAAAUAUUUAAACAAUAUUUUUAAGAAAUAAAUAAUAUAAUAAUUUUACUUAUAAAAAACUCUAUUAUCAAACUAGAAAAUCAAAACAUCAAUUAUAAUGUUAAUUAUUAAUUUUAAUCUUUAAGUAUUAAUUUUUAAGGUAAGAAACCCACCAAUAAUCUAAUAUCAGUAAUAGUCAAUAUCUAAUUACAUAAAUAUUCUACAAAAAAACUAUUAUAUUAUUAAAAAUAUAAAAUUCAAAUAAUAUAUAAAUUAUCAAUGAAAAUAUAUAAAUGUAUAUAAAUAUCAUAAUUAAGAUCUAAAAUAAUCUCUAUAAAUAUAUAUAUGCACAUAUAAUAAAGACCUAAUAAAUUAAUUUUUCAUAUUUAAAGAUGAAAUAACUAAUUUCAAAAAAAAAACAAUCUUAAACGAACGCUAUAUCAAAUUAACUAUCUUUAUAUCUCGUUGGCUAAAUAAUAACUUUCAGAAAUCUUAUAUUUAAAAUACUUAAAGAAAUAAUCAAUUCGUAGUUAUAUAGUAUCAAAUAAAUACUAUAAAUAUAUUUAUCAAUGGGAAUAAUAAAUCUAGCAAAUAUCAAUUUAAAAGAACAAUAGAUAAGUUAAAAUAAUAAUUAUAAGAAAUUUAAAACUACAAUUAAUGCUAUUAAUACAUGUAUAUACAUAAACCUAACUUCAAACAACUCGUAUACUUGCUAUCAAACAACAUAUCUAUCGCUAAGUAAAUUCUUACGAAUAAACUUAAAGCUAAUAUCUAAUAAUUAUAAAGAAAAUUACGAUAAUUAGAUCAUUACAUAAACAACGAUAUUUACAUAAAAAACAAUAUUAUUACACCAUAAGACUUAUAAAAUAUUAAAAUUCAAAGAUAUAUAUAUAUAUAUAUUGGGUAACUAUGUAAGUAUAUAUCUGUAGGUAUGUAUAUACGUAUGUGACUAUAUCUGUCUAUACAUAUAUAUACAUAUAUGUAUGUAACACUAUAUAGAUAUUUAUUUAUAUAUAAGUAAUUAUUUGGACCUUCGGUUUAUGUUUAGUAGUAUGCCGAUUAAAGUACUUUCACUGUUUAUGCUACCUGAUGCCAUCCACAGGUUUGAUAUAAGUGUCACUGGAAUUACGCACUGUUCGUUGAGUUUAUUAUGAAUUAGGGAAACAAAAUAGAUUUCGCUUGAAUCUUUAUUCGACACGACGAUCGUUUCGACUCAUCCUGCAUCUGUCCCUUACGGGUGGGAUACUGUGCAACUGAUUGUGUAGCAUCCUCCAGUGUAAGACGCCCGAUGAGAUGCAUUCUGCACUGGAGGAGGCAACACAACCAGUUGUACUGUAUCUCACCCGCAAGGGAGAGAUGCAGGAUGAAUAAAAACAAUCAUUGUGGUGUUCAAUAAAGAUUCCUGCGAACUCUAUUUUCCGUUUCCCUCAUUCAUUACAUAUAUUUAUCUAUAUGUGUGCUUUGUGUGAUUAUUUUUCUAUUGCUUUAUCCUUAUUGUUAUUUCACUUCUUAUUAAUAAUAAUUAUUUAUACCCCUAGUGAUAGUAUUUAAGUAUUUAUAUAGUCAAUUCCACCAGCUUGAAUAUAAUAACACUGGGCAACAACAAAAAUUUUUUGUCUCGUGCCUGGAAUAUUUCAAAGAAUUCUUAAGUGAUUUUGCCUGCUAAAUUCAAAACUAACUUUAGUUUUUCUCUAUCAGGUCUAGUUUUCUGACUAGACCUGAUAGAGUAAGUAUUUUAUUCAUACAAGUGGCAUAUAAGAGGAAUCAAUAAAGAUAACGAACAUAACACAAAACAAAGUACAAACAAAAAUUGAAAAUUGAAAAUGCACAUUGGCAAAGAUUUUUGGCAUAAAACUCAAGGAAUAAAUUUAUGCUUCUUUGUGCAUCGUGAAUGUUGAGCAACAGGAGUAUCUCGUUUUAAACACCAGCAAUAGUCUGCCAUCAUUAUAGCGUCCCAACGUCCUUGGUAUCGAGUUUCCAUCUCCUUAAUGUCCUGAUGGAAUUGUUCGCCUUGUUCAUCGCUAACAUCUCUGAGAUUUUCAGGAAAACGAUCAAGAUGACUAAAAAGAUAAUUCAUUUUGGUGCUCAUAUUCGCACCAAUAUCAAGAAAAGUUGAUAUCAAGUUGGUAACAAGGUCUUUAUAGUUUUCAAUUUUGUGUUUCCCAAGAAAAUUCUGCACUACUUCUGCAAAGGCUAGCCAAACUGAUGCUUCAUAUUCAUUCGUCGUUUCCACGAAAUUUGUGUCUUUCAAGAGCAUACGGAUCUGUGAUCCAUCAAAAAUCCCUGCUUUAAGUUUUUCAGUCUUCUCCUGAGGAAAAAUACAGGGUAGGGUUGAAAGAGCAGGAGAUGCAGUAAAUGACGUUACUGGAAAGGAUCUGAGAUAGUCAUGGAAGAGUUGAAGCAACAUAUAAAACUAGCAGGCUGGCUUUCCAGAUAUCAGAAAAGAAUAGAUCAAUACCAACAGAAAGGAUUGUUUGAGACUGACCAGAGGAGAUUUCAUAGCCAAAUAAACAGCAUAGAAGAAAAUACUGAAGAUGAGAAACCUAAUGCAGAAGAAGCUAGAGAGUUCAGGAGUAAUAUUUUGGAUAAGGCAAUCAACCACAAUGGAAUGCAGCAUGGUUAAAGAAAGUAAGGGGGAAGUAGUUAGUGAGAAGCAGCCAAGUAGUGCAUUAAUGAAUAAAGUGCAAGGAAGAAUGCCAACUUGGAAGGGUCCAGGACUAGAUAUAGUUCAAGGGCACUGGUUAAAGAAAUUUAGUAGCUUAUAUGGAAGACUGAGGGGACAACUUUAGGGUUACCUGAAUGGAGGAGUAAUGCCUUAUUGGGUGACUAGAGGGGGAAAAGUACUCCUUAUGAAAGACAAAAGCAAGGGCAAUACAGUUAGUAAUAAUAGACUGUUAGUGUGAAAGCUGUUAACAAGAAAGAUUUCAGCACCUUGUCAGCCAGAAUUUACUGUCAGAAGAACAGAAAGGUUGCAGGAAGAAGACUAGAGAAACGCAUGAUCUAUGAUAUAUAGAUAAAACAGUUCUAAAAGAAGUGAAAUCUAGAAACAAAUAUUUAACAAUAGCAAGGAUUAUUUAUAAGAAAGCCUAUGACAUGAUACCACACUCAUGAAUGUUUGAGUAUAUUCAAUAUAGCAGAGAACAUAAGAGAAUUAAUUAGCUACAGCAUGAAGAAAUUGAAAGUAGACUCUACUCAGGUAACACAGGGAAAAUUAAUAUCAAGGGAAGAAUUUUCCAGGAAGACUCGUUAUCCCCUAUAAUAUUUAUUAUGCUUAACCCAACUCGAUUUAGCAUUACGAGAAGCAGAGGCAGGGUAUCAGUUUAGAGAUAGUAAAGGAAAAAUUAUCUAUUUGCUCUCCAUGGUUAAUCCAAAGCUUUUUAAAAGAAUGAAAAGAACAUAUUCCUUAAUUACAGACUGUUAGACUCUUCAGCAUUUUGGCAUAGAUAAGUGUGCAAUAAUAGUCAUGAAAAGGGGACAGGUAGUUAGCAGUGAAGGCGUCCCAUUACCAGAUGGCCAGACAUUAAAAAUCACUGAAAUAAUGAGAGAGUUAUAAGUAUCUACGGGGUAUUAGAAUCUGAUAGAGUACUAAUUAUAGAAAUGAAAACGAAAAUUGAGGAGUAAAUCAGGUGAGGAUGCUAAUGAAGUCAAAGUUAAAUGGUUCAAAUCUAGUGAAGGCUUCAAAAUUCUUGGACAGUAUUGCUACUCAGAUACGUAGAUAUUCAGCAGAUUUUGUAGAUUGGAAAAAUCUGAACAAGCAAAUCUAGACAGAAGAACUAGGAAGGAAUUCAAUAUGAAUGAAAGACUUCACCUAAGAGCAGGAGUAGCAAUGUGGUGGAGAGUUAAUAUCGAUAGAAGACUGCGAGGAUUUAACUAGAGAAGAUAUAGCCUUUUACGCAGUUCACAGUGAAGAAAAUUUAUUAAGAGUUCCUAGUGUAACAACAGGAGAAAGGGAAACCAAAAACCCAAACGAAGUUAAAAUUCAAGAAAAAGAAGAAAGAUUUUCUGACAAGAGAAAGCUUUGCACGGCAGAUUCCCAAAGAUAGUUGCAGCAAAUAGUAGUAGUGAGACAUGGUUAUGGUUGCAGAAAGAAAGGCUGAAAAGAGAGACAGCAAGUUUGUUAGUAGCAGCACUUGAUCAAGCACUAAUGACUAAUUGUAUAAACGCCUAGAUAGACAAAAACCAAGUAGAUUCCCAAUAUAGGUUAUGCAAAUCAAAAGAGGAAAGCGUUACCCAUAUAGUAAGCGAAUGUAGCAUGCUGGCAUAGAAAGGAUACAAAAAAAGACAUGAUAACCUAGGGAGAGUAAUCCACUGUGAGUUAUAUAGAGAGCUAGGAUUUGACCAUACUGAUAAAUGGCAUGAACAUGAACCUAGUAAAAUGCUAGAAAGUAAGAAAUAUAAGAUGUGGGGUUUUAACAUUUAGACUGACAGAGUAAUAGAAUCUAGAAGGCCCGAUUUAAAAGAAGAAGUAGUAGUAGUAGCAGUAGUAGUAGUAGUAGUAGUAGUAGGCAAAAAGAAUAAUGAUAAUAAUAAUAAUAACAAUAAUAAUAAUAAUAAUAAUAAUAAUAACUGAUAAUAAUAAUAAUAAUAAUAAUAAUAACAACAACAACAAUGACAAUAAUAACAAUAAUAGUUUAAAAUUUUGGCACAAGGCCAAAUAUUUCCGGGAAGGGCUAAGUCAAUUACAUCGACCCCAAUGUUCAACUGGUAGUUGUUUUAUCAAUCCUAAAAGGAUGAAAAACAAAGUCAACUCUGGCGGCAUUUGAACUCAGAACAUAAAGUCAGAAGAAAUGCCUGAAGAAAUGAUGAUGAUGAUGAUGAUGAUGAUGAUGAUGAUGAUGACGACGAUGACGAUGACGAAGGUGGCGGUGGCGAUGGCGAUGGCGAUGACGAUGACGAUGAUGAUGAUGAUGAUGAUGAUGAUGAUGAUGAUUGCCCUGAUGCAGUACCAGGCAGUAGCUCUCGUGGAAGUGUUAUCAUGUACCUUGUUUUGUCUUGGUGUAAAAGAUGGGCUACAGCAAAUAUUCUGCUCACUACCACAGAUUUGCUUGUCAGCUGUUUUCCCUUAACCAGUUGGCCAUGUCCCUUAGUGCCUGAUGAUAUGUGCACCUCUGAUCACGAGCAGAAGUAGUGGGGGAGCAUCAUAGCCAUAUGUUGAAAGGGAUUCUUUGGGGUUUGAAUAAUUCACCUCUGGAAACAUUAGUGUUUCGUUCAACAUCCUUAAACAACCCUUAAUCAGGGACCUUUUGAGCGGGAUGGGUUACUCGACCAGAAGAAAAUUCUAACUGGGCCCCACCUGCAAUGUCAUGUGCUAUUUAUCUUGAUAUGAGAUCACCAUGGCGCGCACAUGUGGUUGUGAUGCAUGUGCCUAGUGUACCCUUAUCAGGCGUGUAGUCAUGAUGGGCAUACUGGGCUUCGUAUAUUUUACCCCAGUGUCACUUUGAUGGCAUGCACUGCUCUCUCACUCAAUAAUAAUAAUAAUAAUAAUAAUAAAUGCCCUGAUGCAGUACCAUGCAGUGGCUCUCAUGGCUUUUGGUCUUAACUGACUGGAAGUGUUAUCAUGUACAUUGUUUUGUCUUGGUAUAAAAGAUGGGCUACAGCAAAUAUUCUGCUCAAUACCACAGAUUUGCUUGUCAGUUGUUUGACCUUAACCAGUUGAGCAUGUCCCUUAGUGGCUGACGAUAUGUGCAUCUCUGAUCACGAGCAGAAGUGGUGGGGGAGCAUCAUAGCCAUGUGUUGAGAGGGAUUGUUUGGGGUUUGAAUAAUUCACCUCUGGAAACAUGGGUGGUUCUUUCAAUAUCCUCAAACAACCCUUAUUCAGGGACCUUUUGAGCGGGAUGGGCUACUCAACCUGAAGAAAGUUCUAACUGGGCCCCACCUGCAAGGUCAUGUGCUGUUUAUCUUGAUAUGCAAUCACCAUGUCACGCACAUAUGGUUGUGAUGCAUGUGCCUGGUGUAUCCUUAUCAUUCGGGUAGUCAUGAUGGGUAUAUUGGGCUUCGUAUAUUUUACCCCAGUGUCACUUUGAUGGCAUGAACUGCUCUCUCACUCAAUAAUAAUAAUAAUAAUAAUAAUAAUAAUAAUGAUAAUGAUAAUAAUAAUAAUAAUCCUUUUUACUGUAAGAAUAAGGCCUGAAAUUUGAGGAGAGGAGGUAAUUCGUUCACAUCGACCCCAGUACUUGACUGUUCCUUAAUUUAUCGACCCCGAAAGGUUGAAAGGCAAAGUCGACCACGGUGGAAUUUGAACUCAGAACGUUGCGGCAGACAAAAUACCGCAAAGAAUUUCGCCCGACGUUCUAACGAUUCUACCAGCUCGCCUCCUUAAAUAAUAAUUAUAAUAAUAAUAAUAACAACAACAACAACAACAACAACAACAAUAAUAAUAAUAAUUGUCCCAAUCGAUAUAAACGUAUCUGUCAAGACCUACCAAAAACUGAGCAAAUAUAAAGAUCUUGAAAUAGAAAUCAGCAAAAUGUGGAAGCUGAAGACUAAAACAAUACCUGUUGUCAUAGGUGCCCUGGGAAUGAUAGCAAAAAGGGCUGAUAGCUACGUAACUCAGAUACCAGGAAACCCCAAAAUGGCAGAAAUUCAAAAGAUAGUGCUCAUGGGAACUGCUCAUAUCCUACGCAAAAUACUUUCUAUGUAAUCUCAAGGUUUAAAACAAACAUAAUUUUCGGGUUUUUUUUAGACAUUCAUUAGUACAACACCAAAAACUCCCCACCCACCCACCCACCCAAAUAUAUGGCACACUAGGCAUAACAACAACAUGAACUUCCAACCUGUUGUCUCUUGAGGUCUCUGGGUGAGACUUGGAGCCGACUUGUACAAAUAUAAAGCAAAACUCAAACAUAGAAUAAUAAUAAUAAUAAUAACAACAACAACAACAGCAACAACAACAACAACAACAACAACAACAACUUCUGUUCCCCAUCUGUCGCAUGCCAAGAGCAUGGAUGAUGAUCACUAGUUCACAAAAAAAAGCUCAACUCUCACUUAUGACUCCAAGUAGCCGGUUGUGCACGCCGGCGGUGAAGCCCCGGGAACUCCACUCGACAGUGGUACUAAACUGAGGGGCAACGGCAGUUAGACUUCCGUUGUGGCUGAAGGGAUACCUUCCCUUAAGUGCAUGAAGUCUGAGACGGCGGAGAGGGUGGAUGACCCAUAGAGUCAGAUGGACAACGGCCUUGAAGGUGGAACCAGCAAUGUUUGUGAUACGCAGAGGGUACACUCAGGUACUUAAGGAGUAUGUAGCCAAUCACCAUGAAUAUACUCAGAAGUUAACCAAUAAUGGAUAAAUUCAAUUAAAACAGCCCAUACCGCAUCGCUCGUCUCGCGGGUCAACAAGGAACGCGCCCCCUAGUGAGGUGUCAGGCUGGGUGCGAACUGUUGGUUACUGAUUCGAACUCUACCCACUCCCGGACAACUGUGGGCAACUUAACCUAGGAAAACCUCAACCUGAGCCCCACCGAUGCAAGUCAUACUAUACGCAAAACCCCUAGAACUAAAUGGAAUCGGGAAGAGUAUAAACCAGUCAUGGAAGCAUACUAGACGGCGGUAGUCACACCAUCAGAAGAUAACACAACAAAAAAGACUUAUCAAUUAUGGGGACAACAAAAUCCAAUUUCAAGGUUAAAUAUGGAUUCCAACAAGUUAGGGAAUGUCCGAAGAGAUAUCAUUAAAAACAGGAGGCUCACAGAGCUGGAAGAAAUAGAAAAAGUCAACAAAUAUCACCGUAUAACACCAAAUACAAAUGAAAUAGAAUUAGGGACUACAGAAAACCAAGAAGAGGAUGUUUUCGAGGACCCCUCUGUGGGUAAUGAGAUAGAAGAACCUGUAAAACAACCAACAGCACGAAACAGUGACAUGGAUAGGGAGAAAUAUAUAUUUAUAUAUAUAUAUAUUUUAUAUAUAUUUUAUCUAGUUUCAACUCACGUCCUGGGGCACCGUCAUUCGGUGUUGCUACAUGACUUUACUUCACGAAUGCUUUUUAGCAAUUGCCAUUUGGUGCAUGAGAGAGUUCGAUGCAGCUGCCCUCAUCUGCACCUCCUGCCGUGAAGUUGGUUCAUCUGAGACACCUGACAGGAAGAGAUCCAGUUUUAUUUCAUCUGGAACUAAAAGAAGAAAUACAGAGAAAAUGGGAACAGAAAAAAAACACAAGAUACAACAGACAGAGAGCCCCAACCAAAAGUCAGUACGGAUAAGAACCUGAAAGAGUUGAUUAAAAUUGGCAAUAAUGUAACAGAUGAGAUAAAAUCAGCAACAAUAGAACCACUAAAUAUAACAUCGCGAAACCAACUAGCCUAUGCUACAGCUGCAGCUAUUACUGAAGCAAAAGGCAAACUUUAAAAGAAAAUUGCUCAAUAGAAGAAAAGUCAACCAAAAUGGAAAGAAAACUUAGAAAAGGAUAUACAAUGCAUAAGAGGCGACCUAUCAAUACUGACCGAAAUAAAUAUCGGAAACCAAGUCAACCAAAGAAAAGCCAAGAAAAUAUGCAUGGCAUCAAACAAAAAUAUGAAAUACCUGAAACAAAAGAAAACCUAAAGCAAAAACUCCAAGCAAAGGCACAGCGACUGUCACGAUAUAUAAAGAGAAGCAAACAAUUUAGACAAAACAAAUUAUUUAAAGAAGAUGGAAAGAAUUUUUACAGGGAACUCGGUAAACAACAAAUAAAUUUUGAACAAUCGCCAAAGAAAGGGGAUAUGGAAAAUUUCUGGAGUACGAUAAGGGAAAGUGAAAAACAACAUAAUGAAGAUGCAGAAUGGAUUAAGGAACAAGAAACACUCAUGGAAAAUAAAGAAGUACAGGAAUGAGAAGAUAUUCAAAAGGAGGAGGUCACCCUGGCCCUGAAAAAGACCAGCAAUUUGAAGUCACCAGGAAUAGAUCGAGUACCAAACUUCUGUAUCAAACAGCUAGUUGAUAUACAUGGAGAUAUGUCAUCAGCAUACAACGAAAUCAUGAAAAACCCAGAAAAUAGCCCAGACUGGUUGACACAGGGAGUGACAUACCUAAUACCAAAAUCAAAUGACACAGAAAACCCAAAGAACUAUAGACCAAUCACCUGUCUACCAACAAUGUAUAAAAGAUUAACAUCUGUAAUCACACUCCUAGAAGAAAACAACCUACUACCACCAGAACAAAAAGGUUGUCGAAGAGGGAGCUACGGAUGCAAGGACCAAUUGCUGAUAAACAAAAUGAUCCUUGAAGACUGCAAAACCAGAAAAACGAGCACAUCAUGGAUUGACUAUAAAAAGGUGUUUGAUAGUGUACCUCACUCAUGGAUUCUGAAAGUAGUGGAAGUACCCAAAGUAUCCUCAACUCUCAUCAAGUUUAUGAAACACAGCAUGAAUACAUGGGAAACUACGUUGAUGCUGAACCAUUCCAGUGGAUCAAUAACAAGCAGACCAAUCAAAAUCAAAAGUGGUAUCUUACAAGCGGACUCGCUGUUACCUUUAAUAUUCUACUUGGCACUGGCACCAUUAAGUACCAUACUCAACAAAACCGAAUAUGGAUAUGAGAUCAAGAAGAAAAAAGGGAGUCAUCUGUUCUACAUGGAUGAUCUGAAAAUGUACUAAAAAAAUGACGAACAACAAAGUCUACUUGCUACGGUUAAAAAGUUCAGUAAUGAUAUCAGGAUGCAGUUUGGACUGGAGAAAUGCGCUAAAACUACUUUCAUAAGAGGCAAACUGGCAUGUUCUGCGGAUAUUCACCUAGGUACAGAAGCAAGAAACCGAGCACUAGACCAGGAAGAAGCAUAUAAAUACCUUGGCACAGACGAAAGUAACGGCAUAAAACGAAUGAAAAGGAUUAGAAAAGAGUACUACGGGAGAGUACGGUUAGUAACAAAGACUGAACUCAACGCUGCAAACAAAAUAGAAGCCAUUAACACUCUUACAGUACCAAUCACAGCUUACAGUUUCAACAUAAUCAACUGGCAAAUGAGCGAAAUAAAGAAGCUAGACUCCAAGACCAGAAAACUACUGACCAUGGCUCGAAGGAACCAUCCAAAAGCAGACGUGAACAGGAUUUAUUUACCUAGGGGUAUGGGUGGAAGAGGACUAACUCAAUUAGAAUUAUCUUACAAAAUCAUCACUCUAGUAUUAAAUACAUAUCUUGAGCUGUCAAAAGAUCCUCUAAUGAAGCUUGUGCACCCGCAUGAUAAAGUAAAGAAGCUAUACUCGGUAUACAAAGAUUCUGUACAGUUUAAGAAACAACUGAUGACGGUGGAACCUAGGAUGAAGGCGAGUGAGAAAGUAACCCAGUUUGCUAAAAGAGAUAAGGAAGAAAUGAAAAAACAAACCCAGAAGAAGAGCAAAGAAGAAUGGCUACAAAAACCGAUGCAUGGCUGAUACCCAUGUAGAGUGAACAAACUAGCCGUAGAAAAACGAGACACUCAUGUAUGGAUGAAGAUCUCAGGACUGAAGGCUGAAACUGAAGAUUUUAUCAUGGCAGCACAAGAUCAAACCUUGGCAACCAGGGCUUACCACAACAAAAUAAUGAACGAUGACACUGACCCGAAAUGCAGAAUGUGUCAUGAGCAGGAUGAAACAGUGAACCACAUCUUAACUGGAUGCACAGCGCUUGCAAAAACCGAAUAUAUUCAUAGAUACGAUAGAGUAGCGCAAUAUGUCCAUUGGAAGAUAUGUAAACACUACCAGCCUCCAACUUCAGAAAGAUGGUACCAGCAUAAACCUGAAACUGUGACGGGAAAAGAUGAUGUAACAGUACUCUGGGACAUGUCAAUCAACACCGAUAAAGAAAUCAAGGCAAACAGGCCGAACAUAAUCAUCAAAGAUGAGAAGAAUAAGAAAUGCUUAAUGAUAGAUGUGACAGUACCAUCAGAGAGAAAUGUGUCCAUUAAAGAAGUUGAGAAGUUAUUUGAGUAGAAAUAGAAGUGACCAAAAUGUGGGGAAUGAAAAGCAGCACAGCACCAGUAGUGAUUGGAGCGUUAGGACUAAUUAAAAGGGGCCUUGAUAAGCAGUUCAACAAACUCCUUUGCAGUGUUUACGUGGGAGAACUUCAGAAAAUAGUGUUGCUAGGUUCCGCACACAUUUUAUGCUGUGUACCUCCGUGAACCUAGGGUCAAGGGAUGACCCCAGUUCAGCAGAAGACAACAGACCAUAUUUUAUUUAAAAUAAUAAUAAUAAUAAUAAUACACACACACGCACGCACACACACACACACACACACACACACACACACACAUACAUAUAUAUAUAUAUAUAUAUAUAUAUAUAUAUAUAUAUAUAUAUGGUUAUCCGUAAUAAUGAAGGGUGAAAUUAAUUAAUUUGGAAUAAUUAUCAAUUACACCAAGUAGUCUUCGGCAUGUAAAAGCCUCAUUCGAGGAAAAUUUAAGUAAUACUAAGCAAUAAAGGGUUUAGCAACGAAUUGCCUUACCACAUACCGAAUUUAGAAAUAGCAGUCAAAGAGUUAUAGCUAUUUCUUCUACUAAAAAGGGAGAUUUCAGUAAAAACAGCAAUUGGAAGGCAGACACAAACAGGUAAGAGAGAAUGAAUUGACGGCAAUCUAUCAUACAAUUUUAAGUUAUCUACGGACGUACGUUUCGAAAUCAAGUCUUUAGGAAAGCAUAAGAAUUAAAUAUUAAAUAAUUCUAUCUUACCAAAAACUUCUUUUCUCUUCAGCGUAGAAUACUAUAAUCAUAAAUGAUUAUAUAUUGAAUUUUGAGAUACUAGAAGGCACCAACUCAACUCAGUAUCAGAGCGAGCUAGAAUCCGCAACUAGUAUCACCAAAUUCAAUGUGUGAAUGAAAAGAUUGUGUCACCAGCCCCUUCCCACCCGCGUGUAGCCAAAACAAGAUGCUGUGGUCAUCUACUGAGAUAAAAUAUGGUUAUCCGUAAUAAUGAAGGGUGAAAUUAAUUAAUUUGGAAUAAUUAUCAAUUACACCAAGUAGUCUUCGGCAUGUAAAAGCCUCAUUCGAGGAAAAUUUAAGUAAUACUAAGCAAUAAAGGGUUUAGCAACGAAUUGCCUUACCACAUACCGAAUUUAGAAAUAGCAGUCAAAGAGUUAUAGCUAUUUCUUCUACUAAAAAGGGAGAUCUCAGUAAAAACAGCAAUUGGAAGGCAGACACAAACAGGUAAGAGAGAAUGAAUUGACGGCAAUCUAUCAUACAAUUUUAAGUUAUCUACUUGUUUUGGCUACACGCGGGUGGGAAGGGGCUGGUGACACAAUCUUUUCAUUCACACAUUGAAUUUGGUGAUACUAGUUGCGGAUUCUAGCUCGCUCUGAUACUGAGUUGAGUUGGUGCCUUCUAGUAUCUCAAAAUUCAAUAUAUAAUCAUUUAUGAUUAUAGUAUUCUACGCUGAAGAGAAAAGAAGUUUUUGGUAAGAUAGAAUUAUUUAAUAUUUAAUUCUUAUGCUUUCCUAAAGACUUGAUUUCGAAACGUACGUCCGUAGAUAACUUAAAAUUGUAUGAUAGAUUGCCGUCAAUUCAUUCUCUCUUACCUGUUUGUGUCUGCCUUCCAAUUGCUGUUUUUACUGAGAUCUCCCUUUUUAGUAGAAGAAAUAGCUAUAACUCUUUGACUGCUAUUUCUAAAUUCGGUAUGUGGUAAGGCAAUUCGUUGCUAAACCCUUUAUUGCUUAGUAUUACUUAAAUUUUCCUCGAAUGAGGCUUUUACAUGCCGAAGACUACUUGGUGUAAUUGAUAAUUAUUCCAAAUUAAUUAAUUUCACCCUUCAUUAUUACGGAUAACCAUAUUUUAUCUCAGUAGAUGACCACAGCAUCUUGUUUUGGCUACACGCGGGUGGGAAGGGGCUGGUGACACAAUCUUUUCAUUCACACAUUGAAUUUGGUGAUACUAGUUGCGGAUUCUAGCUCGCUCUGAUACUGAGUUGAGUUGGUGCCUUCUAGUAUCUCAAAAUUCAAUAUAUAAUCAUUUAUGAUUAUAGUAUUCUACGCUGAAGAGAAAAGAAGUUUUUGGUAAGAUAGAAUUAUUUAAUAUUUAAUUCUUAUGCUUUCCUAAAGACUUGAUUUCGAAACGUACGUCCGUAGAUAACUUAAAAUUGUAUGAUAGAUUGCCGUCAAUUCAUUCUCUCUUACCUGUUUGUGCCUGCCUUCCAAUUGCUGUUUUUACUGAGAUCUCCCUUUUAGUAGAAGAAAUAGCUAUAACUCUUUGACUGCUAUUUCUAAAUUCGGUAUGUGGUAAGGCAAUUCGUUGCUAAACCCUUUAUUGCUUAGUAUAUAUAUAUAUAUAUAUAUAUAUAUAUAUAUAUGCAUGGAUCAUUUCUUGUUGAAUCUUAUAAUAAGCAAUUAAAAGAAUUUGCCGAAAGUAUAACUCUUACUAUUACCACUAACUUAGACAUUGUCAACUUCCUGGGUUGCACAUUAGAUCUUGAGUCAGAUAAAUAUUAUCCUAUAAAAACGAGUGAUAUGUUUUCUUUAGGAGACAUCCUCACCACCCUACCUGUAAUUAGAAGCCUAAAAGUUAUCUGCAGAAAAAUCAUUAAUUUAUUGAUUGUUCAUUAUUGUAUUGAAGUAUUAGCAAGGAAUGGUUUUAUUUCUAAGUUAGUCAUUCCAUCCCAACCUCAAACCUGAACAGAGCUAGAAAAUGGUUCGAACCUCUCUAAAUUCUAGAAUAUUUGCUAAUACAACUAGGGGCUUCUAAUUCUUUAUUAGACAUUUUCCAAAUACUCAUAAGUAUCAUAAACUUUUAAUGUCCAUAACAUCAAAUGCUAACCGUGCAUCAUACACUACAAAAGAAACAAACACAUUUAUAUCCCAACUUGUAACUUUAGAAAUCUUACCACCUGGUUAUUGCACGUUCUUUUGAUGAAGUCAAGUGAUUGGCCACUGAUUCUCUGGAAAGACCAACUUGGCCCUGACUCUGAACGAGAUUAUUUCUCUUCUGCGCAUCGUCACCCUGAUCAGUCAGCAAUCAGCUAAAUCUACACAUUUAUGACAGGCAACAAGACAAGCUACCUCGCCAUAUGAAGCAGCUUCAUACAAUCACUAGUGUCUACACUACCACACAGUAGUAUAUCACUCUUUGAUCAGGCUAUCAACGUGACCUGAACUGACCAAUAGAGUUGUCUUCCAAUAUUUUCAUAUGGUAAAGGCGGCGAGCUGAAUGAAACGUUAGCACGCCGGGCAAAAUGCUUAGUGAUAUUUCGUCUGCCGUUACGUUCUGAGUUCAAAUUCCGCCGAGGUCGACUUUGCCUUUCAUCCUUUCGGGGUCGAUAAAUUGAGUACCAGUUACUCACUGGGGUCGAUAAAAUCAACUUAAUCCAUUUGUCUGUCCUUGUUUGUCCUCUCUGUGUUUAGCCCCUUGUGAGUAGUAAAGAAAUAGGUAUUUCGUCUGCCUUUACAUUCUAUGUUCAAAUUCCGCCGAGUUCGACUUUGCCUUUCAUCCUUUCGCGGUCGAUAAAUUAAUUACCGGUUGCGUACUGGGAUCGAUCUAAUCGACUGGCCCCCUCCCCCAAAGUUUCGGGCCUUCUGCCUAGAGUAGAAAGGUGUACGUGUGUGUGUGUGUGUGUGAGAGAGAGAGAGAGGGGGGGAAGGAUGAGUGUGUGUAAGCGUGUAUGUGAGUGAUACGAUGAAAAUUUCUGGGGUCAGAGGGGUUCACCAACUUGAGAAUGAGAAACUGUAGCGUGUUUCCAAAAGUUAGUAAAUUUCCUUGGAGAGCGAAAGGGAGAGAUAGACAGAGAGAGAGAGACAGAGAAAUCGACCGGCAGAUAGACAGACAUAGGAGAGGAGUUUGAUGAUAUAGGAGGAGUUUGAUGAUAUACAGGUUUCCUCUUGGGCGCUUUCUCUGAGAAAAAUGGAAAUGACAUUGUCGGGAAUAGUGAUCUUAUUUGGAUAGAAGCGACCGGAAGUGUUUUUUCACUAAAAGUAUUUGUAGUGAUGAGCCUGGUCGAGUGGAAGAGGUCGUGAUGGAAGAGUUUUAACUAGUGUAUGCAGUGUAGAAUAACAAAGUGAGCAGCAAAUGUGAAGUUGUUUUCCAAAGUAGUACUAGUCUUCGUUGCUGUGAAGUGGAAAAAAAUAGGAUAGAGCAAAGUUGGGAGACAUAAUAGGAUCGGCGCAAUUCGAUUCACAGAGGUAAUUUUCGCGGUUCAAACGAUCUUGGAUUUCACAAAUUUGUAAAAGCCGUCCAAUUUUUAUGAUUUUCCCCAGGCUGUAUUGACAAUGUUCUUCGCUUUACCCACAGCUAUGUGUGAAUCACUUAGGUGACUUAGAUGUUGUGAGUUUUGGUAUGCAGAAGGAUAUACCAAAGAUGAUGGAUUCAAUCAGAUUCCAAGCCAGGAGUUAAACGCAUAUUUUGUCAGGGAUAAUUAUAAAACAAGAGGAACAUCGGCAAGUCAGAUGACUUGAAGGACCAUAGAGUGCAUUAGGUGUGGGGCUUGUUGCAUUAUACGUAAAUGUGCAAUGAGUUGCUGCGAAGAUUUCGUGGUCAGUACAGAGACGGUGAGAGCUUGACAGAUAGUGGGGUUGGGGUAAAGAGAUUAGCUGUGUCUCAUGUGUCUAUGUAACUGCCAGGAAUGAGUAUAGGAGAUGAAACUAAUUGAUACAGGCAUCUGCGACGAAGAUGAUGACUUAAGAGAAGAGAUACUAUAUUUCCCUUUCCCCCUCCCUUUACUUAACGGACAGCGUCUGAAAUCUAUUGAUUGAAGAUAAUAAAAAUAUUAAACCCCCACCAUACAAACAUUGAAUUCACGAUUUUUAAGUUAGUUUGCUGUCAUGUACAAGCUUUAAGCCCCUGAAUACCAAUUGCCUAUCUAUCUAUCUACACACACGCACAUGCACACGCACACACACACACACACACACACACACACACACACACACACACACACAUAUAUAUAUAUAUAUAUAUAUAUACUAAAUUUGAUUUAGUAUUUCUAAAUUGAAUUUUUUCCCUGUAAGUUAGGAUUAAUAUUCCCUCAAAUAAUUAUUAUUAUUAUAUUUAUAACUAACGUUUCUGAGAAAUUACUCUCAUUAUCGUCGGUUAUGGAACUUACAGGUAAAAUAGAACCACUCUUUUGGAAUUCAUCUUUGAAGGAUACUCCUAUACCAUCUAGAAAGGAAUAUAUUUUAAAACUUAUUAAUAAUAUUAAAGAUUUUAUUAAUAGAAUUAAAUGGAAAGCCUACUAUUUUAAUAAUAACAACAUUAAUGAUGUAGAUACUAAUAAUUACAUUAAUUCCAAAUUUAAAUCUAGGAAGGAACCCCCAAAUAAUAGAGAAAUACAGAUUUUAGAGGAUGAUAUUUGGAAGGUAAUGAAAAAUAUUAAAUUUCAUAAAUACCCAAAUAGACAUAACGAAUAUUUAAGAAAUUUAGCUAUUAAAAUUUUUUAAAUGUGAAAUAUGGAAGGUAUCAUAGUAAAAUCAGAUAAAACCAAGAACCUCUACAAAAUAGAUAUUAAAUUAUAUGAUUUCCUAUUAAAAAAAGAAAUAAAUAACAAAUAUAAAAUUGUUCCAGAAAAUACUCUCUAUAAUAUAAAUAAAGCCUCUAAAUUAAUAAUGAUGAAAUAUAAUUUGGAUAAUAAAACUGAACCUUAUGUACCUAUGCAUCUUAGAAUAACUUUGAAAGACCAUAAAGAUAAUUUUUACUCUGACCCUAAGGUUAGAUUAAUUUGUCCAUGUAAAUCUGAUUUAGGUAAAUUAAGUAAAAUUAUUCUGGAUAAAUACAUUAAUAGGUUAAAUGAAUUUAAUUACCUUAAACUUUGGAACUGUACUAAUGAUACUUUAAAAUGGUUUUAUAAUGCUAAUGAUAAAAAUAAAUAUAAAUUCAUUCAAAUUGAAAUAGAUAAUUAUUAUUCUUCUAUUAAUGAGAUCGUACUUAAUAAAGCCCUUAUAUUGGCAAUGAAUAAGGUAGGAAUGACUAUAGAUGAAGUUAAUGUUAUUAAAUUGGCUCGGAAAUCGUUAAUUAGAUAUAAUAAUACAUUAUGGGUUAGGAAGGAUACUAGAAACUUUUUUGAUAUAUCUAUGGGGGCACCAGAUUCUGCUCAGGCUACUGAUUUAGUAGGUAUUUAUUUAUUAUCAGAACUUCAAUUAGAAAAUUUAAAUUUGGAGGGUGGUUUAUAUAGGGAUGACCUUUUAUUACUUACUAGGGAUUGUACUAAUAGAAAAUUAGAAUUAUAUAAAAAGAAACUCUAUAAUUUCUUUAAAAGAAAUGGUUUAAGUAUUACUAUUUAUAAUGAGAACUAUAAUGUUAAUUAUUUAGAUGUUAAUUUUAAUUUAAUAACGGGUAAAACCCAACCAUUCCAUAAAAUUAAUGAAAAUCUCAGAUAUAUUAAUGCUUAUACUAAUCAUCCACCUUCUAUUAAAAAAUCGUUCAUAAACAAUGUAGGUAAAAGAAUAUCAUCACUUUCUUAUGAUUUAGAGACUUUUAAUAAACAUGCACCUUAUUAUAAUAAAGCCUUGGAUGAGGCAGGAUACAAUAAUAUUAAAUUCUUUAAUAUUAGGAAACAUAAUUAUAAUUUAAAAGGUAAUAGUUUUAAUGGUUUUUAUAAUGAACCUAAUUAUCUGAAUUAUGAUAAAUUUUAUUUAGGUACUUAUCGUCUUAAUAAUAAUAGGAAUUUUGAUGAUGUAAAUCAUAAAUUUAAUAUUAGAAUAAAAAUAAAAAGAAUAGUAAUAAUAAUAAAAAUAAAAAUAAUAUAAAAUUCAAUUCACUUAAUGAAGAUAAUAAAUUUAAUAAUAUUACAAAUAAUUAUAGUAAUAAUAACGAUAGUUAUAAUAAUAAUGAUAAUAAUAAUAAUAAUAAUAAUAAUAAUAAUAAUAAUAAUAAUAAUAAUAAUAAUAGUUAUAAUUAUAAUUAUAAUCAUAAUAUAAAACAUAAUUAUCAAUGAAAAUUAAAAUAAAAUUUGGUUAAUCAUUCCUUUUGGGGCUCAGGUUAAAACAAAUCUUAUUAAAGAGAUUUUAAAUAUAAUUGAAGUAUUUAUUAGGGAUAAUAAAAAAUAUUUUAAUAUUUUUUUCUAAAGAUAAUUUUGGAGUUGGUUAUUCGACUACUAAUAAUGUUGGUAAUAUUAUUUCUUCAUGUAAUAUUUUUAAAUUAAAGAAAUUUUAUAAAGAUAGAUUAUAUAUCGAUUCAAAUAAUAAUAAUAAAGAACAAUAGUUAAUUUAUUGUACAUGUAGGAACAAGUCUACAUUUAAAUUUACUAAUUAUUGUAAUUUAGAUAAUGUAGUCUAUAUGUGUAUGGUAACUAUAAUAGAUGAUAAGAAUUUGAAUUAUCGUAAUUUAAAUACUACUUAUAUAAAUACUUUGAAUAAAAUUAAAACUAGAAUUUCUCAACAUAUGUAUUCUUUUGGGAAUAAAAAUCUUAUAAAUUCAACAGGUCUCAGUAAAUAUAUCUGAGACCUUAAAUCUAGAUCUAUUAAAUAUAAAUUAAAUUGGGAUAUUAUUUGUAAGGCUAAAUCGUAUACUAUAGGGAGAAAUAAUUGUUCUCUUUGUAAUAUCGAAUUUAAGGAAAUAUUAUUUCAUAACAAUUAUGCGUUGUUAAACUCUUUGGAGGAACGUAAAGUUAAAUGUAAACAUAAAUUAAAGUACCUUUAUAAUAGAUUUAGCUAAUGAAUAAAUAAUUAUAUUAUUUUUAAGUAAAAAUUUAUUAUAGUAAUAUAAAUUAAUUUCAACAUAAUAUAUAUGUAGUUGAUUGAAUUACUUAUUAUUUAGACUUUAAAUUUAAAGUAAAUAGUCAUUUAAAUUAAAUGCUAUAUUAAUUUUAUGUACCUAUAUAUUACAUUUAACUUAUCUUUAGUAUUAUUAAACCUUAUUUCGUCUUAUGUGGUUUAUUUAUUUAUUGUAGAUAUUAUUUAAUAGUAUUAGAGUAUAUUUUACUAUAUUAUUAUAUGUUAUAUUAAUAUUUUAAACAAAAUGACGAAUAAUAUUUGUUGAUGGUGAGUUUGAGAUGAGUUUGGGCUUCAUGUGUUGGAGAAUAUUGGAAGGGUUGAAUGUAGGCUGUGAAUUAAUUUAGCGAUCGUUGGCGGUUUGUUGUGGUUUGGGUUAGUGGUAGUGAUGGUAAUAAUAAUGAUAUUUAUAAUGAUAAUAGUAAUAAUAAUAAUAAUGAUAAUAAUAAUUGCGUACGGCUUGAUGUAGGGUCCAGGUAGUUUUGAUGAACAAGUAAUACUUAUACUAUUUUUACUAUUCUUAUUAAUUUUCUUUGAUUCAUGAAGCUUAAAUAAUUCCCGUUUUUUUCAUUAAUAAAUUCUUUUUAGUCUUUUUCAUUAAUAAUUUUAUUCUAUUUUUCUACGCAUCGUAUCCACGCCUUUUAUUUCUUAUAAACGCUAAGAACUAUUCUUUCCGUUUAUAAUCUAGUGAUACUUUCUCAGCUAACUAAGCAACGUUCUUUUCUCCAUUUCGUUUGGAUUUGGUAUUGUUUUGGGAUUAAUAUUUAGCUGUUGUUAAUAUUGUUAUCGAUUUAUUAAUAGGGGUCGGUUAGUUGUAGUUGGGUGUCUUCAUGGUAGUUUCUCCAUAAGUUGUGUUUUUUAUCACAUUUCUUUAGUUCAUGAGGCUUAAAUAUUUUUUCGUAUUUUUCAUUGAUAAAAAAAUUUGCCAUUUUCAUUGAGUAUUUAUUCUAUUUCUUUGCACUAAGUCUUCACGCGCUAAAUUUUAUAAACGCUUUAACUAUCUUAUGUUUAAAAUUCAGUUACUAGUUUCCUUCGCCAAGAUAAGUUUCAUUUUAUCGUUUAUCUAUUUCAUUUGAAUUUGGAAUCUUUUUGGAUUUGAAAUUAUUGUUAUUUUUGUUGUUAUUAUUAUUGUUGUUGUAAUAUUAUUAUUCAUUUAUAGUUUCUUGAUAGUUAUUUUUCAAGUUCGAUAUUAGAUAUGAUAUCUUAAUGUUUAUGUAGCAAUUUAACGUUUUCCAUAUAAUUUAAUUUGAGAAUUAGUUUCGUUAGGCUAUAUAUUUUUUAAUAAUUAGGUAAUAUUUUUAUUAAGUAGUAUUACAUUUAAGUAAAUUAGUUUUUAUUUUAAAUAAUAUUAAUAUUAUGUUUAACUUUAAUAUCGUGUGAAGUAUUAAAUCUAUAGAUAUUACACAUAGAUAUUAAUAAUAUAAUUAGUUUAUAUAAUGGAUUUGUAUAUAUUUGAACUUUUUCCUAUUUUUGAGUGUAUCAUUCAUGACUGGUAAUAGCAUUGGAUAUAUUAAUUAGACACUAAAACAUAUUUAUACAUUUAAAAUCCAGAUAGAUUAAUUUAAUCGUUGAACUUCGUAACAUAGUUUGUUUAUCAAUAUUAUUUGGAUCUUGUAUUAUUUUGAGUUUGAUCGUUGUUAUUAUUAUUAUUGUUAUUGACUGGAUUUGUAGUGGACUGGUGAUUGUGAUUGAAAAUCUUCAUAGUGUAUUGUUCAUUGGUUCUAAUAUUCUUGCAUCUUUCUUUAAUUUAUGGGGCUUAAAUGUUUCUUACUUUCCAUUAGCAAAUAAUUCUCGCCAUUAUAUCAUUUUUAUAUGUUACGAUAGAUAUUAAUUCUUAUAUCUGUUUAUUUAGAUUAUAUAUAUAUAUAUAUAUAUAUAUAUAUAUAUAAAGAGAUCUAACGUAUUACAUUUAAUUUAAUUUGAGAAUUAAUUUUGUUAGACAAUAUAUUAUUUAAUUAUUAGGUGGUAUAUUUAUUAAGUAGUAUUAACUUUAAGAUAAUUAGGUAUUAUAUUAAUUGAUAUUUAGUCAACUAUAUUAUAGAGUGAUAUAUUAAAUCUAUAGAUACUACACAUAUAGGCGCAGGAGUGGCUAUGUAGUAAGUAGCUUGCUAACCAACCACAUGGUUCCGGGUUCAGUCCCACUGCGUGGCACCUUGGGCAAGUGUCUUCUGCUAUAGCCCCGGGCCGACCAAUGCCUUGUGAGUGGAUUUGGUAGACGGAAACUGAAAGAAGCCUGUCGUAUAUAUGUAUAUAUAUGUAUAUGUAUGUGUGUGUUUGUGUGUCUGUGUUUGUCUCCCUAGCAUUGCUUGACAACCGAUGCUGGUGUGUUUACAUCCCCGUCACUUAGCGGUUCGGCAAAAGAGACCUAUAGAAUAAGUACUGGGCUUACAAAGAAUAAGUCCGGGGUCGAUUUGCUCGAAUAAAGGCGGUGCUCCAGCAUGGCCGCAGUCAAAUGACUGAAACAAGUAAAAGAGUAAAAGAGUACAUAUAUUAAUUAUAUAGUUAGCUUAUUUAAUGAGUUUGUCUAUAUUUGAACCAUUUCUUAUUUUGAUUACAAUUUUAAUAACUUGUACUAGCAUUGUGUAUAUUAAUUAAUUUUAAAGUAUUGAAUAAUUUAAGUAUUGCUUUUAGUGUUCACUUAAUGCAUAUUUAGUAUCUUUAUAUACAUAUAAAAUAUAUAUAUAUAUAUAUAUAUAUAUAUAUAUAUAUAUAUAUAAAAUAUAUGAAAGAAUGGAGUUGAACGACGAAUUAACAAAAUUCCUUUAUUUUUGACAUAUGUUUCGAAGGCUGCAUAUUCUUAAUUGCGAAGGAAUAAGGAGUAUAUUAUGCCGCUUUCUCAUCAGGAAAAGCAAGGAACUUAUGUCAACAUCAAGAUGCACAAAAGACUUUUAGAUGACUGCUCACACGGAGCCCAUAGUGAUAAUGAGUGUCUCUUUAAAAAAUUCCUUUAUAAGGAGUGACGUGAAAAUGGAUGGAUGUAGAGGAUUCUAGAAGGUUUUAAAGGUUCAAGGGUUCAAACGAAGUAGAAGAAGAGAGGCAUAAGAAUAGGAAGGUGAAAGGGUGCAGUUCAAAUGAAUGGUGAAUUUUCUUUUGUGAAUGAGUGUCUGUGUGUGUGACUGUAUAUAACGGCAUUAAUGUGUGCGUGUGUAUGUGUGUGUGUGAAUGUGUUUGUGGAUGGGUGGGUGUCAGAAAACAGACAGUGGUGAGGUGAACGGUUUGUGUCUGUGUGUUUGAUUGUGCUUACUAUAGAUAGAGGGAAAGAGAGAGAAAGAGGAGGGCGAGGUAUAGGGACAAAGGUAAUACAUACCUCACUGGAUUGGGUAGUAGUUCUUUGAAAGUAUAAAAAGAAUUUUUUGUCUAUGGGGGUGAAAUAUAUAAAAAAGGGUUAUAUUAAUUAAAAUUCAAGGGGCUAUCUAUAUUAAUCAUUAUUCAUAUGAUUGAAAGGUGUGUUUUUGCCAGUGCAUGCAUCUGUAGGACCUCUCGACGAUUGUAUUUAUUAAAGGGACUUUGGCGAACAAAAUAUGAAAAAGUUCGGAAUUACAGACGCCACAAUGUUUUCUGCCCUUGUCAAACGGGAAGGACACCGACAAUAUGGACCAUUCCAGUUUGAAAGUUGUAUUGCCGUCCUUCUGACGCCAAACUAAUUUACUUAGUCCCGUGCUGUGUUGUUUUUUCUUAUCUCUGAAAGUUGAAUAAUGGUUGGAUAUCCUUUGGGCUAAUUUAGAAGAAGUUGCUCCAAUGUAGAAGAAGACAUCAGUUCCCGAAGAAAUUUUGCACUGGUAAAUGGUGUUUCUAAUUUUGGAAUUUUUGGAUAGGAACUUUAAUCUGUUGGGGUUAACAUCCGAUACUAAGACAGAGUUUUUAUUGUUAUGAUAGGUGUAAAUAUUGUUGCUAGCAUUGGCCACGAUACUAUUCCUCUUAUUAUCAUUACUAUUAAUUGUAAUAUCGUCGGCAAUUUCUCUGACUAUAGGAAUGCUGGGACUGUUAUCAUCAAUAAUACAACUGUUAUUGGAAAUGCUGUUAUUAUCACCACUAACACCACCACUGUUAAUAAUCCGGCUAAUAUUAUUAUCAUUAUUACUAUUGUUAACGCCAGUGAUGCUAUGGACGUUGCUAAUAUCAAUACUGUUUAUAUUAUUAUUAUUAUUAUUAUUAUUAUUAUUAUUAUUAUUAUUAUUAUGUUAUGUUGGAAUUGGUAAGGGCAGUGUCGCUACUCCUGGGUGAUGAACCCUUAUUUAGCAGCUUAUUAUUAUGGGAGGCAAUUAUCUCCGAUAGGUUUCUAGUGUUGGAAAAUGCAAUCCUCACCUUAUGCGAAUUGAUAGUUGAGUAAUACCUAGAAUUCCUGGGAAAGUUCCUAGCUACGGCUUCACGGAAUUGUAAAGAGAGGUUAGACCUGAUUUGUUUCCCGAAAGGAAUGACAAACCAGAUAUAGUUUUUUUUUCUUAGAAUAGCUCAGAGUGCUAACAUUUACAUUAAAGGGAGUAUUUCUGUGUUGUAGAAUUGGUGUUGGUUUUCGAUUACCUCCCCUGGUCCGUACAUUAUUUUCGUUAAUUAUAUUAGUGUCGACGUUGCUAGGGUUGAAAUCAUUAAUUACAUUAUUUCUAUUGUUAUUAGUUUUCUUAUCCUGAGAGGCAAAUAUUAGUUUAGAAUGGGCCGGGUCGAAAUAUGAUACCUUAUCCCUAUAACCGGCUUUUGACAGGGCGGUAUUAUAAAAUUCCGCUUUUUGUUUAAAAAUGUCGACAUUCGCAGAUAAAUUUGAUAGUCUUAAGGAUAUAUCUUUAACUAGAUUAAGAAAUUAAAAAAGGAAAAUACGCACACUUACAUAGUUUUAAUAUAAUUUUUAAUAUAUCGACCGGUUUCGCUAUCGCUAUUCAUGAUAUUAUGUUUUAUUUGAAUAUAAAUUUUUUCUUAAGAAAUUUUGUCCAUGUUAUGUGUGAUGAUAUUCACGAGUGAAUGACUUCACAAGUAGAUAAAUAAGGGGAGGUAAUUGGUUGUCGCUAUUAUUGUUAUUGUUGUGGGUAAGGGAGAUAACUGUUCAGCUUUCGGUAAUGGGUGGGGAUUAUAUAUGUGUACAGUAGGGGAUUUAUAUACAGUGAUGUAUUCGUGAAUUGGAAUAUGUAAAAAGAUAAAAGUUGGUCAUGCGUGCAUAUUAAGGCGUGUUUUGUAUUUUUCAAUGAAAAAGGUUCUAGUUGAGAGAUUGCGUCUUUGCACUGGUAGAAAGGGAAGACUGUGAAAUUUGGUUUGAUGUUACCUACACAGUUUUCUAUGUGUUCACUGAGAGGAAUUUGUCUGUAUUGCGGGAAACGGAUUUUCUCUUUAUGUAGAGUGAUUCUCUUUCUCAAGGGCAUACUCGUUUGUCCAAUAUAGUUGUGUCCGCAACUCGAACAGGUUAUUAUAUAAAUUAGGUUCUCAGAGGCACAAGUGAAACUAGUUUAAAUUGUGAACCUCUGCCCUUGUUUGAAAUGGAAAUCCGAGCCUUGAAGCAGGUUGGGGCAGGUUCCACAGUUUGGGCGUCCACAUUUUUCAACCGUUGGUUUCGUGGAUAUUUUGUAAAGCUUCGCAUUUGUUAGUAGUCUCUUUAGCGAUUUGUCCUGUUUUUUGCAUUUGAUGAGUUUGUGUGUUUUCAGGAUGUCGUUCAUUUUUGGAACUCUAGUAAAGGAAGAGUUUGCACAAUAGUGUUGAAUGCCUCACUGUUUCUGGGGUUGUGUGUUGAUAUAAAUAGUAAUGUUUUGAGUUGAUGUGUGGUGUCAUGUUUUGUUGUUCUUAGUGUUUUUGUGUCUAAUUGUUAGACACAAAAUUAGACACAACAACACUAAGAACAACAAAACAUAACACCACACCUCAACUCAAAACAUUACUAUUGGUGGUUUUUUUCUUAUUUAUAUAUAUAUGUAUUAUAUUGUGUGAA
rnacentral:lncRNA from 1 species